rnacentral:lncRNA from 1 species
AAUUCUUGCCUAUAAAUGAAACUAGGUUAAAAGGAGAGAAUACAUUUUAUUUGUCCAAUAUGUUUUGUGAUAGAUAUUAAUCACCGCUAAACAACAAUAACGGAUAUUCGAUACAUUAUAAAAAAGGGAUCGUGCUAAGAAAUAAGUAUCCUUAGUACAUUUGUUUAAGAUUCAAAAUAUAUUAUUUUUAACAAAGUUAAUGCAUGAAAGUUGCCUUUUAAAGCUCCAAUGUGUUAAAUACACUAAUCACAAGAUAAAAUUUCUUCUGUAAGUUUCUUAAAAGAAAGUUUUAAGGACAUUUAUUUGUUAUCAUUUUUCAAAGUAUUUUAUUUUGAAUAGGAAAAAAAAAAUGAAUGGAGAAUAGUAAAGUCAGCAAAAGACAGAAAACAAUGGAGGACACCGACACGUUUCACUUUACCAGAAAGCAGCCACGUUUGAAUACUUAUGAGACAUUGACUUAGGUUGGACGGUAAUUUACCUACGUAACAAUUUCACUAAAAUACUAUAUAUGUUCAUACCUGAGAUUUUCAUAAAAAAUUAGGUUUACCAUUGUUUUGUUAGAAACAUACCACAUGUAACCAAUAAUGAAAUUGUAAGUUUUAAUUAUAGGAUCGAUUAUGAGACUCGGUUUUUAUAAUUCCAUAUUGAAUUGAAAUCCGUUUGAAUUUUUUUAUGUCUUGUCUUAUUUGGAUUUAUAUAGAAGUCUCACUUAAAAUAAGUUAAGAAAUCAAAAUGGACUCUUAAUCAUUGUAGAUGCACAAAGUUGUCAAGCACAAUUUAAGGACACUUUUACUAUUUGACUUACCACUUGCAAGUUUUUUAAAGUAAUGUAUAGUGACAGUUUAGUUAGAUGAGGUCUUAAUUAGAUGAGUCAGCUAGUGUGUCAAGUCACCAUUAUAGUGUUUAAUUUGGAGUUGGAAUUUUAGGUAAAUAAGGUUAAAAUGUGUUAUUAUGGUAUGAUGAUAGGAGUAUAGUAGGAGGAGGUAAUAAAGUGUAGGGAUGGUCCUAUAAUGAAGAGACGUAAAGGAAACGUAACAAGAAGAGGUGCAAAAUGCCAAGCAAAGUUGGAUUCAUCUUAUUGUUUGUUUGUUUAUUUGUUUUGGGAGACGAUAUGCGUUGGAUCUGUUUUGUGUACAACUCACUUCUCCUUCUAUCUCUUAUUGGGACUUUGGAUCUGCGGCUGUAAAAUUUGAAGUUGUAAUUAAUCUUAAUUGUUAAUCUAAAAUAUGACGAUUUACAUUGUAUAUCAGUUUAAUCAUGCUUAAAUAACUGGAACUUCUUUAUAUCAUCAAUCAAUGUGAACGUUUAUUUUAAUUGCAUUACUUUUACCAACAAACUCCUGUACCACAUGCAACAAAUGUAUAACACUUGUAUAACGUAAUGGUAUUUUUUUUACAAGUAACGUAAUGUUAUAUACCAUUAUCUAAUUAGAAUGUGCCACUUGUUUUUCCCUAAGUUAGAGGUUAGUGUAUGCACUACCAUCCACAUUAAAAAGCUAUUGUAUUUUUGUUUUAAGUAAAUGUCAUUGUAUUGCAUCAACUAUUUUCUAACACAUUUCCCAAAUAAUAUUUGGAUAGAAGAAGACAUCCCAAAAUGCUUUCAAAGUUUGAAAUUACAUGAAGAUUGUAGCUAUAAACGAGUAUUUUUAACCCACUUGGGAUGAUCUGAUGGUAUUGAUUUAGGGUGUACUCCUCAGGUUCGAUUCUCACCGAUACCAAUUUAGAUUAGCUAAUUUAGCUUAUUCAAAAAGAAAAAAAAAUCCCCAAGUAUGUCUUAAGAAGAGUUCCUUUCAACGAUAAAUUUGUUGCGCAAAAUUUUAAAUAUUGUGCAUGAUAUACAGAGCUAGAAUAUCAAAUAUAAGCCACCAGGGCCAGCCAAAUGUAUUUUUAGGCCUGAACCAAAAUUUAAUUAGAGGUCUUUUAAGUGCAUUUAUAAUGAAUUUACAAUGUUUGAUAAAAUGCUACUUUUUUUGAAUUUUUAAAAAAUAAGUUUUAAUUAAUUGUUUAAGAAUGUCAAUUAAAUUGAACAAAUUUAACGAAUAAGUUCAUUAAUUUGGUUUGGUUCAAAUUUUGUUAGAAAAGAUUGCAAAAAAACAUACAAAACCAAACUAUUUUAUAUUUUGAUAAAAUAAAAAACCAAACAAACUAUUUUUUCUAAAAAAUCAAACCGACGCAUUAUAUUUUUAUUUCAGAAAUAUUGUAGUUGUAUUAAUUAAAGGUGUGGCCUGUGAGCUUAGCUAAGUGCUAAAAGUGCUAAGGACAAUACAUAAUAUAUGCAAGGUCCAAGGUUCGAAUCCCGACUACCAUACAAAAAAAAAUAAAAAAUCAAAGGUGUGGCAAAAUACCACUUAUUCAUAAAUACCCUGUUCUCUUCUUCUAGUUUUCUAAAGAAAAUGAUUCUUUUAGAAUAUUAAUUAAAGGGUUUAUUUAGAAUGAUAACAUUAAAUAAAUAUAAUAAAAAUUGUAAAACAAAAUUAAAUAUACUUAAGUUAGUUGAAAUUUGUUUAUAUUUGAGUCUACAAAAUAGUUUUUUUUUCCUCCUUGUAUUUGAGUUAACGGGGAGUACACAACACCAGAGAGUUGAGAUAUCUUUCAGUAAUUUGGAGUUUGGUUUUAGAAAUUUAAACCAUCGAAGAAGAGUUUUACGCUUACCUAAUCUUAUUAUCUAUCUUGAAAGAUUAAUCGACGCAGUUGUAGUAAAUAUAUGAUCUACACAAAAAAGAGUAAAUAAAAAAUAGAGUUAAAUUCUUGAUAUAUUUUAUAAGACUUAAACAACACUUCUUUCGUUUUAUAAGUAUGGCUUGGUAGGUAAUUACAUGAAUAUUGAUAUGCAUGAGAUUUUUGCUUCUCCACAUUAAUAGUGUGAGAGCCUAACCAAUAAACUACUUGACCCAUAAGAAUAACACUCUUUCAUCUUGCAAUAACUAUCGUAUUUUACGCAAAUUAAAAAAGAUGAUAAAUAAAUAAAAAGAAUGAUGAUUAUACUAUCUUAUUCAAAUCAACCAUUUGUGUAUUUUCAUUAUUAUAAAUUCAGUGUGAAAAAUAAUAACUUUUGAAUGAUUCACAAAAAAAAUCAUUCGAGGGUAUAAUUAGAAGAAAAAAUCAAUCAAAACUAUAUUGAAAAUUGACAAUGACACUUCUUUUAUAACACAUUUUUCUUACAAAUAUGAUUGUUAUUAUGAGACAUUCACAAGUAUUAUUUAUUUAGUUCUUUAAAAAAAAGUACUAUUUAUUUAGUUCAAACUCGUUUAAUUGAACAUUUGUUUGUUGGUAUCCGUUAAUUAUAUGUUUCCCUAACUAAAGAAAUGGUAGAGAUACAUCACCGAUAGAAUUGUUCAGUUGAUAGAAACAUUGUAUUAUAUAUGGGAGUUGAAGUUCGAAUUUUAAAUUUCUCAUUUAUUUACUUUAAAGAGUGAAAUUCUAACCACUAAACAAAGAAAAAAAGGUAGAGAUAUAUUUACGGCUCGGAGUGCCCAUAAGAAACAAUCCAACGAUAAAAAAAAGUGCUCUAUAGACAAAUGCAAAUCACCCCAUUGCCAAAUCCAUAAAUUACAAACCAAAAGUUUGCUUUGAGGUAAAAUAUUAACUAAUUCUCAACGGCAAACAAUGUUAGAAAGUCAAUUUUCCACCGUAAAUGGCCGUCCAUGUUUACCUUUCCAGGCUGGUUCACCUUAGUUUAAUUAAAAUCUAUAAAGUUUGUCACUCAUCCAUCGGAGGCUCCACCACCAAAGGUUUUCCUCUUUCUUUUUCAAAAACUAUUAUUAUUAGUCAAGAUUUUUCUUUGGCAAUCAAGGUUUAAAAUAAAUUGAGGAAGAGAAAAUCAGUAUCAAUAACGAUGAUACUAGUGACUGUUUUAUAAUUGUUCAUGUGGCUUAACCUUGAACUAUACCCUUUUAGGUAGUCAUGGUUCUUGAAAAAAACUUUCAAAAAGUUAAAAAUGAAUUUCUUGAAAGAACAUGAAAAGUUGUUGGUACAUUUUCUAACCAAACCCAUGAACAUAUACAUCAAACUUUUUGUUGUUUUCCUUUCUUUUCUUUUUCCUUGUAUUCUCACUACACUUUUUUUCACUGAUUUGAGACUACAUAGUUUUCUUAGCAUGUAUAGCUAUAGAUAUAAAUGGUAUAGCUAUAGACAUGAUGUAAGAUGAAAUAUUAUGUUUUAGUUUGUUAUAUUUUUUUAUAUGCUUAUGACAUUUUAUUUAUAACAAUGUGUUUAAUAGAGUAUGGUACAUGAUCAAUCAAGAUUUGGAAACUAGUUAGAUAUGUGAUCUUUUUGGCAAAAAUAUAUACAACGAUCAUUUUCUUUUCUUAUAACAAACUCAACCUGCGAGUUUCUAUAACAAGAGGAAAAAAACAUAUCUACAAUUGCGAAUAAUGUCAUCAAAUUUAACGACAUCUCUCUUAUCCAUCAAGAUGAAGAUGAUCAUAAGCUUCUACAUCUGAGAAAUGGUGUCUAUGUUGUUAGAGUUUUGAGUGAUUUUCAAAUAAUGAUCAAUGGUGAAUCACCUAUGAUCAAAGUGGUCUAUUGUAAAAUUUUCCUAGUUUAUACAAUGUAAUGUCAACAAAAUAAUACUCUUUUUUUUUUUUUGGUUGAUAGACGAACUAACAAUUGUCAUUAAAAACUCAUAUACAUAAGUGUAAUAGUCAUAGUUUUAACCAUAAUCACGGCACCAUACUUAACAAUUUAUGCAUUUUUGUUGGUUAAACAAUUUUUGUGAACAAAUAAUACCCUCUUAAAUUGCAUUUUUUUUUACAAUUUUUUUUUUUAUAUAUAGAUAAUGGAAUUGUAUUAUAUAAACCAUUAUUUACACUUGAAUAGAAGACAAGCGGACAACAAGCUGAGCCGUUAGGCCUUUUUGGAUGGCAAAACCAAUUCUCAUAAACACAACAUUCAUGGACCUAGGAGACAUGACAUUGUUAUGCAUGACCUUUUGAACUCUAUGUAGAAGGUCAACAGCCUCUGCUGCUUGAAAACCGAAAGUGUCAAAAACAAAUGGAUAAAUCGCAUUUAAAUUGAUAAAUUAAUCCAAACAAUAUAUACUCCUACAUUGUUGGAAAAAUUGAGCAUGGUGUGAGGGAGUCUACAUUGAAUAUAAUGUAUUCAGCACAUACUAUUCAAUUAAACUUAACCUUUAUUUUCAAAUUCAUUAUUGUGAAGUGUCACUCAUGAAGCUUUUUUGUAUGAAUAACUUAAGCUUAUUGUUUUUUUUUUUUUUGAAGGAACUUAAGCUUAUUGUUGAAGAGCUCCAUCUAAAUUUUCUACAUGAAACUGCUGAAAAUUGUCUAUUAUCUUGAACCAGCAUAAAAUUAGAAGGAACAUUGAAACAAUGAGUACUAAAGUAUGAUAAAGUAGAACAUACAACAAAUUAAGUCUAAAACAAAGAAUACAAUGUACACAAGAGAAAUGUUUUUCAAACGCAAAUGCCGUAUUAAAUACGGUUUUAACUUUUUUAAUCAGUUUUUCACUCUCCUCAAGAUCCAAAAACAUUUUAAAUACACAUGCAUGUAUUAAUAAACAUUUUUUAAUGUAUUUUACAUGAAAAAAAAUUCUUUGCACCUCUUAUCUACUCAUAUGAGGGCCAACCAAAUAAUAUAACAUAGGUGGAAAAUCUCGUAAAAUCAGGGACGUAGUUAAAGGGUGUCUUUGAUAUUCAACUCUUUAGCUGUUCAGCAUAUUCUUGGUAUUGGACUCUCCUAAGCUAAGGUCUUAGUUAUAGCCAUUAUGGAGUAUUGACUGACAUAUGAUACAUCAUAUCCAAACUUUCAUUUGCUUUUGCAUUUCAAUGGAUGUCCUUGUCUAAGGAAAUUUCGACCCUUUUAAAUAUUAUAAUUUCAUAGCUUUACUAUUUUCACUUUCUAAGUGUCCCUUUGGUUGGGGUCACUUUGAUGGGAUCUAUAUCAAAACAUUCAUUUGGAAAGAAUAUCUGAGCCGGGUCCUCUAAUAAGCUUGUAUAGCAUAUACGGUAUAAACAUAUUAUGUACAUUAGUUUUACCUCGCAAGACUUAAACUUUGAAAAGUUGCAUGAAUAUUCACCAUAUCCGAACUAAGCCAAAAAAUGUGUGUCUGUCACCAUGUACUACUUUGGAUGAUACUUAUUUGUUUUCGUUGAAAAUUGGCUAAAAAUUUGAUGUUGAAUUGAAGGGUUGUCAAAAAUCACAGCGUGAUUGAUUUUAAUCGUGGCACGAUUUGGUUGAGCAAUUUGAAGGUUUUGUUCACAAAAAUUCGUUCUACGAUUGGGUUAAAUCGUAACACGAUUUUGGAUUAGGUUUAGUACUAUAUUGUGGUACGAGCUCUAAAUCGUGGUGUGAUUCAGACAAAUUGUAGCGCGAUUUUGAUGGGAUUUGAGUAAUAUAUAAGCCUUCAUUCUUCAAUUCUUUCGGUGGCUUCUAUAAAGAGAAUUCUGUCAAAUCAAAGGAAGGAACUUUAGAGUUGAGUGUGUUUGGGUGAGGUUCUUAGGUUGGGAAAGGGUGAUAAAUCUUUCUUUCUUGUUUUUUCUAUUCCUUGUGGGUUUGAGUGACUUGAAAAAUUAGUAGAAAUUAAAGUUUGUAUCACUCACUUCAUAGUGGAUUGAAGAAUUGUUAUCUCUCCUGAUGUAGGAUAAAUUUAUCCUAACUAGAUAAUAAAUUUCUUGGUGUGUUGUUUUUCUGUACUCGCUUUUUUUGUAGCUUUGGUUAUGCCUGUGGGCUUCACAUUUAGAUAUAGAUCCGUUGUUAUUGUUGUUGCUAAAAGUUUUUUUUUUUGAACAAACAAAAAUGGAUUAUAUUAACACUACUAAAGCAGCCCUCUCAGCACAAGAUGUACCGAAAAGACUACUUAAAACGAUACAAGCAGUUUAAAAAAUUACAACAAGUUGUUAACCAAUGCCUAAACACGACAAUGGAUUCGACAACCACAUCUGAUCACCAAACAUAAAUACAACCCUAUUGGCUUUCAGCCACCACAAAGAAUGAUACUUUACUUUGUCUAAUAAUUGAACUAAGGAACGUUCUCUUUGCUUAAAUAGCCUGUUAUUUCUUUCAUUCCAGAUAACCCACAUCGUGAGUAACCAAAUAAGCUGAAGAAAAGAUCUCCUUGAUUUCAAACCACCUGUGUAAAAUGAAAAAUGAGCACAAUGAUUUGAAAUAUCACAAUGAUCGACACCAGCAAAACCUAUCCAAGACCUCACCAAAGACCAUAAAGAACCAAAGAAACUGCAAGACAAAAAUAAAUGUCGUGCAUCUUCCACGAAACCACAUCUUGACACACAUAAGCAUGCCUCUGAAUUCAAAAUACCACGAUAUGCUAAAUUAGACAUUGUAGGAAGUCUAUCUCGAAUCAACCUCCAAGAAAAAAUAGACACCUUAAGGGGAACAUGUUUGUGCCAAACCAAUUCUUCGCAAAGACCAUCCUGCUGCACUUCCUGAUUGGUAAGCAUAGCAUAUGCCCCACGAACUGUGUACCCUUGACUAGGAUCCGGUUGCCACUGCCACACAUCAUAGGAAAGAGACUGCAAAGAAACGUUAGCAAGUAAUAACCUACACUCCACAAGGGGCUCUUCCUCCCACACCCACAAACUCCUACGCCAGUACCAUCCCCCUCCCUCCUCCCCCCAUCCUAAAGAAAACAUCUCUUUAACAGUAAUGGAUUUAUUUAAAGCUAAAUCAAAUAACAUUCUAAAUCGAAUCCGGAAUGGGACACCACCACACCACCGCUCAUGCCAAAACAAGGUAUCGUCCGCAUCACCCACACAUCCCUCAAACCAGCCAACACCGCCCCCACCCUGCCCUUCUCUAAUCCUACUAACCUCCUUCCACCAAAUAGAACCACUCCGGCCCCCAUCCUCCAACCUCCCAUCACGCACACCAUACCUAGCAACCAACACCCGAUACCACAACCCUCAACGAUCAACAAGUAACCUCCAACACCACUUCCCUAACAACGCCUCAUUAAACUCCCUCAACCGCCUAACUCCUAAUCCACCAUACUUCUUUCUUACACACACACUCUGCCAGCUCACCCAAGAUAUUUUUCUACGUUCCCCCCCCCCCCCAAAAAAAAUUUUUUUUUUUUUUUUUAUAGAUAAAAUAGAUUCUAUGGAAGAGAUUGUACCUGCUGGAGCCUUGAAGAAGGAAAGAGCAUAGACAUGUAGCGCGGUCAAGAUAGACUUUAGAAGAAUCAAGCGACCUCCAAAUGAAAGAAACCGACUUUGCCAAUUAGACAGUCUAGAUUUUAUACGGUUAACCACAGGUUCCCAAAAUGACAGACGACGCGGGUUUCCACCAAUCGGCAAUCCCAAGUAAGUAAAGGGCAAUGUACCAACCUUACCAUUCAACAACGACGCUGCUUCUGUUAACCAAGAGUCAGAAACAUUUAUACCAACCAACAAACUUUUAUGGAAAUUUAUUUUUAACCAAGACACAACCUCAAAAAGAAUUAAAACCGCCCGCAAUGCACGGACAUUCGUCCAACUCUUCUCACCUAGAUGCGAUACCACCACCUCAUUUCCAUCCCCAACACUAUAACCUCUAAACAAAUUUGCAUCAAUCAUAGCCUUCAUCAUAACAUGCAACCCCACUACAGCCAGUAAAAAUAAAAAUGGGGAAAGAGGGUCACCCUGAUGCAGACCUCUACCCAAAGGAAACUCAUCUAUGGGGCUACCAUUCACAAGAACGGAUGCGGUAGCCGUUGUAACACAUUCUUUAAUCCAUUUUCUCCACAAUGUCGGAAAACACAUUUUGGCCAUCACCGCGUCUAAAUAACCCCAAUCAACAUAAUUGUACGCUUUCUCAAAAUCCACUUUAAACAUCAAAAUUUCCUUUUUAGUCUUACGAGCCUCAUCCACAACCUCAUUCGCAAUCAGAAUUCCAUCUAAAAUUUGACGAUUUUUAACAAACGCAGUCUGAGCAUCUGAAAUUACACUACUGAUAACCUGCCUUAACCUAUUAGCCAACAACUUAGCCAAAAUUUUAUACAAACUUCUGACCAAAGAAAUAAGACGAAAAUCAUUUAAAGUUUGAGGAGAGUCUACCUUUGGAAUGAGUGCUAUAAAAGUAGAAUUGAUACCCUUAGAUAACUUACCAUUCCCGUGAAAUUCACCAACAAAACGCAUCACAUCAUCUUUCAAAUAAAUCCAGAAGUCUUUGAAAAAACCAAAGUUGAUACCAUCCGAACCUGGACUCUUAAAACUGUCACAAUCCCAAAUAGCUGCUUUCACCUCCUCAACUGAAAACAGCUUAAUGAGACCGCCCCCUUCAGCAUAAGACAACCCCCGAAACUGUAAACCAUCCACCGUCGGCCUCUGCACAGAAUACGACUGAAAGUGACUCGCAAAAUGAGAAAACACAGCUUGACCAACGGGCUGCACACCUUCCACCAAGGCUCCAUUCACAUUGAUUGACACCAAAGAGUUUCUACGCCUCUGACCACCCAAAAUUGUGUGAAAAUAUUUCGAGUUAGCAUCACCUUCCCGAAGCCAAGUAAGUCUAGAUUGCUGCCAACAUAUACUAGUAUUAAGACGGGACAAAGAAUGGAUAUCUGACGUAAUUCCACGUAACUCCUCAAUCUCUUCUUCAGCUAGAUCCUCCUCUUCCCCCCUUCCAUCAAAAACAGCUUGCCUUUCCUUUAAGGAUUUAAUCUUUCCAGCCAAAUUAUGAGUAUGAGCCAAAUGCCAUUCCUUCAAAGCAACCUUUAUAAGUUUCAAUUUCUCUUUCAAAACAAAACCACCCCAACCUGUGACUUCCAAAUAUUUCCAUUUUUCACUUACAAAAUUCUUAUAUCCAGGUACUUCCUGCCAACAUUUCAACAACCUAGAAGGCCUCGGUCCCCAAUUUUCCUCAUCAACUGUCAACAGCAACGGACAGUGAUCAGACAAACCACGUAAAAGAGCAACCAGAUUACAAUUAGGCCACAAAACACACCACUCCUCUGAUAAAAGAAAACGAUCCAACCUACUCAUCGACUUCCCAUCACCUUUAAACCAAGUAAAACUGCGCCCAUCCACGGUAAAUCCACCAACAUCAAUAAAACCGUUAAAAGGAGCACAGUCUGCAAACGUUAAUCCAUUUCUAACUGAUCUUCGUUCCUCCACACUUCUAACCGCGUUAAAAUCCCCACAAAUACAAACCUUUUUACCACCCAACAAAACCAAACGAGCCGAUAAAGAAUGCUAUAAUGCUUGUCUUACUGUCUGAUCACACGAAGCAUAAACAUUGAACAAAAAACACUCUUCAUUGGUCCGAACAAACUUUCCAUGAAUCAACAAAAAAUAAUCACCACUAGUAGAGUCACACACCUCAACCUCCGCACUAUCCCAAAUUGUUAACAAGCCCGAGAGGCCCCCACAGAGGGACGAAAAGAAUACAAAUGAGAAGACAAUCCCCAAACUGAAGCACUUAGCAAAUCAUCACAUAACUGCAAUUUAGUUUCCUGAAGACAUAAAAUAACUGGUAAUUUCUCCCCUACCAACAAGCGUACAUCCCUUCGUUUCUCUAACCCUCCCGCACACCUACUCAACCUCCCCUUACCGCCUCCCUCCCUCACCCACACCACGACUUUUUAACUUCUUAACUUUGUCCUUCUUCACCCUUGAUAAGACACUAAACAUAUUAUGAUUUUCUCCUUUAAAAUUUACUCCAAUUGCCUUCCCCAAACCCCACACAUUCUCCACCUCCACCUCCUCAUUUCUUCUCAAGACCACCCAAUUUUUCCAAUCAUUAUUAACAGAAGAUGAUGAAGAGGCUCCCUCUGAAAUACCUUUUGAAACCAUUUCCACUGAUCUAGAUACUCCAGCUUUGCCAUGUCUCUUACGAAUCCUCCUUUUUAAAUCAUGCAACACAGCCCUUCUAUCAUUAUAAGGAAGCCUCGCCACCUUUUUUAGGGAAUGAACACAAUGCCGAAGAACUCCCCCCACCUAUUUACGUUUUGACUUACUAGCUCCUUCAGAAUGCUUUGUUUCUGUACUAGUAGCUACUUGCUUACCCUUCCUUCUAGAUGAAGAUACAAUACCUACAUCACCAUGAACCUGAUCGCUUAACCACUCCAUGCUCCACGGUCCAAACACGGAUGACCUCCCCGCCUCUGGUGGGCAAGAACCCGCUCGCAUUCUUCGCUUUACAUUCUCCUUUUGACCUGCCACUUGAUUUAGCAUCCUCUCAACAGAGUUCUCAUUUUGAAUCCCUACUUCCGGUAUGUCGACCUCCGAAUCAAUGUGAUAUGCUACUUCCACCAAUGGAGAAGCCGCAACAAGAACAUGUGAAUUCUUAUUUAGUGACCCUAUUGGAGAAUUAUUGGCACCAACGUGAUACCCAUAGGAAACCCUAGAUGUAACCCUACCGUCGUCUGAAUUCCGCGAACCAUGAUACACCAUAGACCUAGAUCGUCGCCUGCCAAACGAAACUCCUAGCCGCAUCCUCUCCUGCUGUCCGUCUUGACCUUGCUCGUCCUGUCGCAGCGCUUUCCGACGUCGCGGUCUCACAGUCUGCCAAUCAUCCCCAUCCCUCCCCGUUUGUGGCACCCCACCAUGGCCCCUUGCCCCCACAUAGAACCUCUCCUCCGAUGAUCGGAACCGGCGCACAGACCUGUGGCAUUCCCGUUGUUCAACGCGAUCAACGCGUUUCUCUCUCAGUCUCACCAUCGCUCCUAUACUAAUUGUUGCUAAAAGUAACUUUGAUUACUCGUUUCUUUUGUUUAAUUUUAAAUUCAAAUUCACUAGAGUAUUUUUUUUCUUUUCUUUUUGCAUAGUUUCACUUAAUUUCAGAUACAAAAUCCUAUUUGACUAUUGUAGAACCCUAAAUGUGAGCUCCUCUUCUAGAAGAGAACAUUGUUCGUUUUUAAUUAUCGGCUAUCCAAUUUAAAAUUUUAAAGUUACAUUAAACAAGGUUUUGUAAAUUAUAAUCUUACUUUAUCAAUUAUUUUACACUUGCCUUUAGCUUGAUUAUUUUAAUUGAUCCAUUAUUGAUUGGUAGUUGAUAUUAUGAUACUUAUAUUAGGAUGAUAAACAUAUGGUCUUAUGGGACUGAUCAACAAUACCCCAAUUUUGUGAUGAUAAAUUUAUAAUUAAUGUCAUCAUUAGUAAUUUUCAUUUUGUCUGCAAGAAGAUGAUGAUCCUUCCAUACUUUUCUUCUGCACACACACACACACACACAUUUUAAUGGGGGAAGGUAUCGUAUUAAAUGAAAAUUUGGACGUUGGAUCGGGAUGUUGACCUCAAUGUCUAAGUCACCCUUUCUACCAAUAACAGAAAACAAAUAAAUCUGCUUUUUCAAUUAGAGGAUACUAACUGUUUUGACACAUACAUCAUUAAUUAAUUAGCACAGUAUCACCAAGAGAUUUUUUUUUGUUGAAAAAGACAAUGGUAUACAAAAGCAUCAUUCUCAAAUUAAUUAUUUUUUCUUUAUAAAAGAAGGGGCAGUAUAAAAUAAAUUAUGAAAAAUAAAUAUCGGUAGCCAGAGAUCAUGAGCACUGGACUAUUGCCAAUUUGAGCCUUCAUCAACUAAAAACCAACUAAAUUAAGAUUCUAACCCUAGAUUAAUAUUUAUUUUUUUGAAGGAAACCCUAGAUUAAUAUUAUUCCUGGACCCAUCAUAUCAUUAUUUCCAGUGCACAUUAUUCGUAUCCAACGUGCUUCUAUCACUCAAAGGCCUAACUCAAAAACUCAAGGUUUAUUUUUAGUAGUUUCUUUUUCGCAAAAUUACACUUUUAGUCCUUUAACUUAAUUUCAGGUAAUAGUUUGGUCCUUUAUCUUUUUUUUUCAUUUUAAUUUGAUCAUUUUUGUCCAUUUUCAUAUACAUUUUCAAGUUUCAAAUCUAAUAUUCUUAUGCAAACAUAAACGAGGAUCAUAGAUUUGAAGACUGAAAGAUCAUAAGAAAAUAAAAUCAUGAAUUUUAAGCUUAAAAAUUCAUAUAAAAAUGGACAAAAAGGACCAAAUUGAAAUAAAAAAAAAAAGAUAAAGGAACAAACUGUUACCUAAAAUUAAGUUAAGGGACUAAAAGUGUAACUUUGCCUUUAUCUGUGCUUGCAGUUUGAAAUAUUAAAAUUAUCUUCCUUUUUAUAUAUAUUUUUUUGUAUAAAAAGUAAGAUCUCUUUCUUUUGUAUUUAUGCUAGCCGUAUGUUCUUGGUUGUUCACACAUUUUUUUGGGUUACGAAGUUUUAUAAUUAUCCUAUGGAGAUUGGAGAGGUUCAUGACCUCAUGGGGACAGUUGAUAAUGGCCACUUCAAAUUUGAACAAAUAAUGUAGGCCAUUAUCCUCUGACAUGAGAAGAAUUCGUCAGCCUGAUCACAUUGCAUCAUUCGGAUACUAUUUAGGUGACAUCGUGGUUGGUGACAUUGAUGACAUUAUCAAUUAUAAUGUUUCAAAUGUAUAAAACAACAAAAAAAUCUCGUAAAAGAAAAAAAAGAAAGUCACAUGUAACGUUGUGGUUGGUCAAUGUCACCAACCACAAUGUCACCCAAGUCUUACCGGUGUCAUUCACUCAUAAUUUAGAUGGUCUAAACAAUAAAUAUUGUAAUCAGCAUGUUUUCCACGACUUUUUGGAAAAGAAAAUGUUCCUUAGUUUUAUAUUUUCAAUUUGAAAAUAAGAGUCUAGAAAUUGAGGUUGGUUUACUUAGUAAAAGUAAAAUUGACUUAUAUCACGUAAGGACUUGAGUUUAACUUUCACAGCUAAGUUAAAAAUCUUGGCGAGUAAUUUAUAAGUAUAUCUAUCACCGAUCUUUAAAUCUUGAUGUUUGUCAUGUCCGUGAUGAGUCUUCAGAACCCAACGUACCUAAACUUUUUUACAUUAACAAAUAUCUUAAAGACACGUGUUAGCAUUUGCUAAGAAAACAUAUAGUUUAGUGUCUGAAAUUAAUUCUCCAAAUAUUAUUUGGUAUAAACUCUCACUAAGAAGUUGUUAGUACCAAAACAAAACAAAAAAUUGAUCGAACUAUAUAUUGGGAUUAUUUGGGUUCAGAAACAUAAUCAGCUGAGUAAAAAUCAACUGGGUUCAGAAUCAGCAAAUGCAUAAUAUGUUGAUAGUUUAAUGUUGUAGCAUAGUUUAUCUGGAUCACUUGAAUGAUGAUAUUUGUCUUAAGAGACUUGUGGUAAUGUUGAUUAAAAACACAAGAGACAACAACAUUGAGAGGACCAGGUUGGAAUGUUAUAUUAUGUAACAACUUUUAUGAUUCACUUUUAUAAAAAAUGAAUCAUAUCCACUUAAUUUUCAAAUUUAAUCAAUCAGGAUAUAAUUAGCUACUUAUCUUCCUCUCUUCCAUCUUCAUUAACGUCUGGACUUGGAAAACUCGUCGGGCCAAGGACACUAGAAGCAUCUGAAACCUAUUGAAAACAAAAGAAUACAAGUUACAAACUCAACUUAGUAAAUGUUUUUAUAAUAUUAACAUAUAAACUCAGUAAAAUACAAUAUACCUGUGUUGCAGGUUGUAUAAUAUCAUUCACAUCUUCGACAGAAAAUCGAUUUUGUAUCAAUGUCGCAAAAUUUGCCAACAAAGCACACGUCCUCUCUUGACUUUCUCUCAUCUGCUUAAGUUCAUCCAGUAACUCUUGUUUUUCAGACAAAGAAGCUUUCAAUUUUUUAGGUUUAUGAAUCUUGCUUAUACAACUUGAAGUUGUGGAUCUCUCACCAUGGAAUAUCCAUUCCGUAUAACGUCUAAGAAAUCCGUAUCGCGGAUCAGUUAAGUGUUCAUAAACAGUACUGCGAGAAUGUGACUUAUAGUUGGCACAUUUUGUACAAGGACACAAUAUUUUUCCGUCAUCUUCUGGCGUUUGAAAAGCAAAUUCAAGAAAUGUGUUAACGCCUCGAAUAUAUUCAUCGCUUUGUUUUGUUGGAUUGCAGAUCCACCCUCUAUACUCCAUUUGACAAAAUUAACUGAAACCAACCAGAACCAAAUCUUUAAUGCCACCUUAGCAGAACAUACCUUCUCAACAGUUUAACAGUUGCUCUUGCUCCAUGCCAACUCUUAGUCUUUACCAACAACACUCAAACAAGAAAAAGGAUUUAAAAGCCAUAUUGAUUCUGUGCUAAAUCAAAACCUUUUGACUUAAAUUUCAGAAUCUUUCAAGAUAGGAUUUUUGGCAUCCUCCACCACUUAACUUGUUAACAUGUCAUAGUGUUCAGCAUUCACCUUUGGAGAUUAACUCUAACAAUCUACUAAAUCUCUAUAAAAUUGUUGAUGAUUUAUUUGCAGAACAGAAUUUUUCAAAGCAGAACACUAAUUAGUCGGGUCCGAAAGAAACAGAAACCUAGCUCACUAAAAUCCCAAGCCAACUUGAGUAACUAGUUAGGUUCAGAUUUGUCAUGCAGCAAAUUCAACUAUUCAUAAGAAUGAUCCAAUAUGGUUUCACUCAACUAUUGGCAUUCAAAAUCCCAUGAUAAGUCACAUUCAGAAGAACUUGGGUUUAUAUGUGCACUCUCUCAAGACAAAUACAUAGCUCGGCAUUGAAACUGUGAUUGAAUAAGUACAACAUUUUUCUAUUAUUAAAAUCAUGGUUCAUAACCUAUUUCCAGCUUAUUAAAAAAUGAGUUAAAAAAUAAUCAUCAUUUUUUAAGAGGGAAAAUUAAAAAAUAAAAACUGAAAUGAAAGUUAAAAUAAUCAUUUUCCUUCUUUUAUUUUUUUAAUCUCUAAUAGGUUUUGAUAUAUGAUUUUUUUUUAUCAAGUAGUUUAGUUGUCGAAAAUCACACAUUUUAAAUGUGGAGAAGUGAGAUGUUUGAUGUUCGAACUCCAACCCUUGCAAAUCUAUGUAUAUAUGUAUGUAUAUUUUAAGGAUUUAUGUUCUUUUAAGUCUUAUAGGAAGGUAACUUCAGAUGACAUUAAAUCUACCUUUUCUUUUUUUGGUCAAGAUAUCUGAAAUUACCUUUGUAGUUUUUCUAAAGUUUACUCAAAAAUAUCAUAUGGAAAAGUGCACUAAUUUGGAAAUAAGUCUUUUAAAUAAAUUUGGAGUGUCUCAUGUUGUAUGUACAUUUCAAAUUAAUAUUCGCAUUAGUUUUCCAUUGCCAAAACACUGCAUGGUGUGGGAGGAGAUUGUCUUGGUUUUUUUUCUUCUCUCGUAUGUAAUCUAAGCCCUCCAUUAAAUUGGUGAAAGAAUGUGUUUGUAAUAAUAAAAAGGGAGAGAGCGUAAUUAAAGAUGGAUAGUUAGACAUCGCAGAAAAUUGGAGAGAUCUCCACUUGAGAGGAUCCGCUCCCGCAUGGUCUUUUGAUUUACUUUGUAAUGUCCAACUAACGGAACACACAAAUUUAACUUCAUAGGUGUUUUUUUUGUUACCAAAAAUGAACUUAACAGGAGUCAAACACAAGAUCAAAAGCUUAGAGAUGAGGCGCUUGACCACUAUGCCGGACUGUUAACUCAUAACGUCAUAGAUGUUUAACCUUUCAAGAUUUUUCUUGAUAUAAUUUUCUGGUGAAAUCCACAGCAUUUUACUAGUUUGAUCUCUAAGUGAUCUUCAUAAUGAAAAUCCUCUUUAACGAAUACAAAUCCUUUAUUGUGAAAAAAUAAUUUGUUCAACUAUAUUGGUUCAUCUCUCCCAACAAUUAGCAUGUGGACCAACAUACAGAAUCCUCUCAAAAAAAAAAAUACAGAAUUUUGAUGGAUUCACAAUUGCAUAUUUGACCAUAAAGACACAAUGAUAUGCAGAGGUAUUUUAAAGAGAUCAAAUUUUUUAUACCAUUUCCUAGUAUUAUUUACCUUUUUUGCAAAACCCCUAUGGUUUCUUUAAUAUAGUGUCUUGAAAUAAAUUUUCUAUCUCCAAUCGAAGACUAUAGACCAAUGAUUUCUCUAACUGGUGCAAUCUGAAGUCUUAACUAUACUAUCAAAUUAUAGAUAGUCAACUCAAAACAAACUAUAUCAAUAAUGACUUUUCUUAUUAUUUUAACUGAUUAGUAAGAGAAAUUAAAUCACUGGUUUAACUACUGACUCAAACCAACUGAGUUGACAAAUUCUGUCAAAAAAAAACUGAGUUGACAAAUUAAACGGUCAAAACCUUCCACCAAUGGGACUAAUGUCAUUUAUUUAGCAAUUCAAACAAACAUAAGCAGACAGAGACACUCAUGAAUGAUGUUUCAUGUUAGCCUGCAUCCAAUUUAAAAAUCUUGCAAAUUAGUUUUAUAUAUCCCUUUGAAAUACUCAACACAAACACUGCAAACACAUACUUAUAUGAUGAAUAAGUAUUACUACUAGCUCUUACUUUUGUAAUUUCAACUUCCUUUCUUCAAAACACACUAUUAAUUGUCCUAUGGCUUUGAACUUUUGUAGCCACCGGUGCUUCUUCUUCAUUGCCGCAGUCUUAUCGGUCUUCGCCACAACGCUGUCAAUGUCUCAGCAGCAAGCAUCUGAUUCGUGCAACGGAAUAUUCCUGUCAUACACCUACAACGGCGGCAUAAAACUACAGCCAAACUUGACGGACUCGGCUGCCCAACCGUCCCGAUUUGAGUCGACACUAACAGUGCUCAACAAUGGACUUGUGGAGCUGAAAUCUUGGAAGGUAUUAUUAGAGAUAUAGUUAGUUAGUUAGUUAGUUGAUUUUCUAUUUGUUAUUAGUUUGUUAGUCACUUUCUAUAUCUCAAAUAGGUGUUCGUUGGAUUUCGUCACAGAGAAUGGUUGGUGUCUGCAUCCAAUGCAGUGCUUGCUGAUGGGACUAGUAUCCCUGGUGCCGUUGGGAAUGGCACCGUUAUUGCAGGAUCAUCGGUGAUCGAUUUGAAGACUGCAGCAGCGACUGCAGGAGACUUGACACAGAUGCAGGUUAAGGUAGAUAUGGUGGGGACGGUGGUAGGGGUUGUGCCACCCAGCGUGCCAAUGCCUUCUAUCAUAAACCUUGCUAAUGAUGGUUUCAUAUGUGGUGAAGCCAUUUCUCAAGGUUCGUAUGAUGUUGUGUAAAGUGGAUUUCUUUCAUUCUUUCAUGCAUAUUUACAUUUAUUUGGCGUAAACCAGUAUCUUCCGCGUACCAGAUACUAAUCUCUCAAGUUUUAUGAAACUCAAAUGGACAACAAACUCUUCCGAAAAAUUUUAAUGUUGCUUCAUGCCCAAACUCAAUUUCGAACAUGAAGUCUUGGUUAAGUUAGAAGAGAUUUGUGUAAUCUCAUCUAAUCAUUAUUGGAAUUGGAAAUGUUAACGAGUAAACCUGGCUAACAAGAAUUUCUUUUGUAGGAACUUGUAAUAUAAUAUGGUAUAAAUUGAUAUAACUAACUUUUAAUUUCUGAUGACUCUUUUUCAGGGAACAAUGAAACUCAUGUAUGUUGCACAAGUGAUCCCAAUUACAAGACAAAUAUCACAACAAAUGAAAAAUUUCUACCUAGACAAAAUGGAGAUCUUACCAUAAUGUAUGAUGUGAUCAAAGCAUACAAUUCCAAUUAUUGGGCAGAGGUCACAAUUUCAAAUCACAACCCUCUAGGCCGUCUUGACAAUUGGAAAUUAAGCUGGAAUUGGACCAAUGAUGAAUUUAUCCACACAAUGAAAGGUGCUUAUCCAUCAAAUAUAGAUUCAUCUAACUGUAUUUUUGGUUCACAAGGUGAAUUUUACAAGGAACUUGACUUUUCCAAUGUAUUGAAUUGUGAAAAAAGACCAACAAUAAUUGAUCUACCACCAACAAGGUUCAAUGAUACACAACUUGGUAAAGUACCAUUUUGUUGUAGGAAUGGUACUCUAUUACCACCUUAUAUGGACCUCACCAUGUCAAUUUCAAGGUUUCAAAUACAAGUUUAUAAAAUGCCACCACAUCUCAACCGGUCAAGCCUUACACCACCACAAAAUUGGGAGAUUAAAGGUGAUACAAUCAACCCCGAUUACAAAUGUGGGGCGCCGAUUAGGAUUAGUCCUAGUCAAUCUCAAGAUCUUACAGGGUUACCUUCAAACAUAUCUUCAAUUGCAAGUUGGCAAGUUGUGUGCAACAUAAGUACAAAGUCAUCAUCAAAAAGUGAUUCUCCUAAAUGUUGUGUCUCAUUUUCAGCUUAUUAUAAUGAAUCAGUUAUUCCUUGUAGCACAUGUGCAUGUGGAUGUCCUAGUAAUCAAGAAAGAACAUGUAGUGCUACUACACCAGCUAUGUGGCUUCCAUCAAAAGCACUUCUUGUUCCAUUUGAGAAUAGAAAUGAAUUUGCACAUGAGUGGGCUAGUUUGAAAAACCUACAAGUACCUAACCCUACUCCAUGUGGUGAUAACUGUGGUGUGAGCAUAAACUGGCAUGUAAAUUCAGAUUAUGAAAAAGGUUGGACUGCAAGGAUCACAAUUUUUAACUGGGGUGAGACGAAUUACGCUGAUUGGUUUGCUGCGGUUCAAAUGGACAAAGGUGCAAUAGGUUUUGAGGAAAUGUAUUCAUUCAAUGGAAGCUUGUUAGAGAGAUUAAACACUACAAUAUUCAUGCAAGGUAAGAAAGGAUUGAACUUUCUUGUAGCGGAAGCAAAUGGGUCAAACCCUCGAAGAGAUCCGAGGGUGCCUGGGAAACAACAGUCAGUAAUCUCGUUUAGAAAGAAAAAUAAAGAUGAAAUCAAUGUUGUUGGUGGUGAUGGUUUUCCUAGUAAAGUGUUCUUUAAUGGGGAGGAAUGCUCUCUUCCUUCGGUGUUUCCAAGCAAUGGUUUGAGAAAUGAAUUUUCCUUGGCUACUAUUAUGAUCCUAAUAUUGUUGUCAAGUAUGUUGAUUCAAUAUUGAUGACAUUGUAUUUAUAUUUUUGAAGAUUGGUUGUUUUUCUAUAUUUUCAGAUUUGUGUAAGACAAUAUAAACAUAUAAUUUUUUUAACGAUAAACACUACUCCCAGAAGCCUGAAAUUUUUACAUAAACUAAUUUAUAUAUUUUGAACAAUUUAAAUCACGUAUGAGCUAGCUAAUUGCAGAAUGAUGAUUAGAUUCAUGUGGAACACCAACUAUUUACAUUGGCAACUAUGAUUAGAAAGAGAGCUAACAGGAUCUGUUAUAAACUGGAAUGUUGUCUAUGGAAUAUCCAUCAAAGUCAAACUCAUUAUCAACUUGUCCAAUGCCUUUGUGCUGCGAGAAAUACAAAAAAAAAAAAAAAAAAAAAAAAUGAUUUGUCUAUAAAGAAAAACAAAGUAAACAUAAAUAUUUAGGGUCAACAGAAAGGAAGAACCAACCUGGUUCAGAAACACACUCAUGAGAUCCUCUUGACUUUGAUCAGAGAAGGGGUUAAUCUCGAUGUUUGUACCCGGAAUUCUUUCACUCUUACCCCUUAAUGAAUUAUCAACAAAAGGUGUAUUGAGGUGUUGACCAACAUUUUGGUGAUCACCUUGACUCAUACCAUCUCUAUUUUGUCGAGUCUGUUGGAUAGAGGAAAAACCACGAUGGCCUAAAAUCGACGGCGAGACAUCAAUGUUGCCUUGUAAAGUAUUUGAAUGUUGAGAACCAUCAUAUGUCAGGCCUGUAUUUGCUAAUCCCCAAUCAUUGGACUUCCGAUGGAGUUCAUUAUAAACAUCAUAACUAAAUCCCCCUAAUCCUUUAAUUCCCGAAGUAGCUUCCGCAUGAAAUGCACCUUUUGUACUGCUACUGGAUAUACCUGAAGUGCAUCUAAGAGGGAAACUAUUGACUGAUAUUCCAUUUGGUCCUGUAGGUUGCAUUAAAGAUGAUGGAAACAUUGUAGCAUGAGAAUUUGUAUUCUCAUUUAGCACCUGACCUCUUGGUUGAGACUGAGCCAUCUGCGUCAACCAGGGGCUUCUCUUUGCAGCAGAAGCAUUGACUCGCAUAUUUGCGCUGCCAAAGGAUUGAGCAGACUGGUGAAAAUUGGCAAACUGCUUCGGCUCAAUGUUGAUAGGGAUUCCGUGAAGAAAGUUCACCGGUUUACUGCUGCUCAUAUGUUGCAGUUGCCCAUCUCCAAAUCUUAGUUUUGAGUUCUCAGGACUGUAAAGUCCUGCUGCUUGAAGCUUGGCUAGACUUUGCGCCGAGAACUGGCCAGAAGCUGAAAGGGUUUGAAGAUCAAUUUCAUUUACAGAGGUUCCUCCAAAUAUUGACUCUUGCGCACUCAUGAAGGAGUUAUUCAAGUUACUUUGCUGCUGGGAAACUCCACUCAACCUUCGAAGAUACAAACGGUAUUUCUGUAAAAGAAAAUAAAAAACAGAUGAAAAAAGUAAUAAAAAACAUGAAGGAGUUGUUCAAGUUACUUUGCUGCUUCUUCAAGUAAUAUCGUUGAUGAUGACUGUAUCUCUUAACAUCCAAGGUGGAUUUUUUAGUCUUUACACACCCCUUCACACCAAAGAGUGGACAUCUGGAGUGUGACUCUAGCGGGCCAAUGGUGGUGACUUGAUAGCCAGUGGCCCAUGAGAUCUUGUAUAGGCUCUAAUAACAUCUAGAAUAUCGGUUGCAAGAUGAGGAUCGUCCACCACUUCUAAACUAACUUAUUAUAGGUCAUAUCUCAUCUAACAUGGGACUCUUAACAGUAACAAAAAUAGAAGAAGUAUAAUCUUUUUAGUAUAUCAUACCUGAAGAUGACUGGCAACGUUUUCUCUAGUGAGCCCAGGAACAUUCAUCAUUUCCAUAAUCUUUUUCGGAACAGCCUCUGCAUAUCAAUAUCAAUUUUGAAAACAUAAGAAGGCGUCUUUACUUAACAUUGCAUAUAAAAAUCAAUCAGACAAGCAGAAAUAUUUAAGAUUUUAUGGGGGAAAAGGGCCAAUUUAGAGAUAAAACAAACUUGUUAUACUAAGGUACCAAGGGAAUUUAGCACGUAAAUUAUGUAGAAUCACAAGGAUUAUAUCUCAGAAAAACUUUAAGGGAAUGGUUUGUGCGUUAGAUGAGACACCGUGUAAAACAAACAAAGAUGAAAGAGAACAUUUUUGCAAGGACAUAACAUAAUUGAGGGACACAUACUGUCUAAUCCCAAUUGAUUCACAACAGCCAUAAACUGCUGAUGAAGCUCAAUAGACCAAACAACUCGCGGCUUCUUUGACGUCGAACAAUCAUCCCUAUCAUCUGCUUCAUCUUCUUCAUCCCUCCUCUUCUUUGAGCUCUUGCCUUCAUUCGUUGAAGAUGAGUAAUUAGCAUCAGUGGAUGCCUUUUUUUCUCGAUCUCUUUCAUCUAAUCCACCAGAUUGCCUCAGAUCUUUCCAGCUAUUCUUUCUCUUCCUAACCACAUGCUGCCAUAUAUUCUUCAAAGCCUCAAUUCGCACAGGCUUGAUUAGAUAAUCACAAGCACCAUGUGUCACACCUUUCAUUACCACGUUUUUUCCAUCAUCAGCCGACAUCACUAUAAACACAUUCACACAAACACACACACACACAAUAUGUCAGCUCAUGUCAUUGCAUAUUCCAUCAAUUGAUCCAAAACAAUAAAAAAAAAACAAUACUUACUAAUAACAGGAAGAUCCAUCUCCAAUCCAAUAUGUUCCAAAAGUUUGAAUCCAUCCAUAUCCGGCAUAUGCACAUCGCUUAAAACAAUGUCGAACCCAUUUUUAUUCUCUCUAAGAAGUGAUAAUGCAACCUCAGCUCUCUUACAUUUGGUAACUGAAAUAAAUAGACCCAACAAUCAAAACAGAAUCCAAUGAUGAACAACAAAACUUACACAAUAUACUCAAGUCUCAAACUUUAACUUUGGAAUAAAUUCCAAUAGUUGAAAAAAACACUUAUCAAACAAAUCUACCAUAUUAAAUCAUAUCAAAAGCAUAAUUCAAAAGAAAGAUGGUUGCAACCAAGAAUCUAAACUAAAAAUAAAAAUGGGUCUGAACAAAAAAAACUCAUUCAAACAAAAGGGUAUUACUAAUUUGCAUCUAAAAGCACAUAAACGUUGAAAAAAUGAUGUAAAGUUAAGAUUUUUAACACUAAUUCAUGAUGGGCAAGAGUGAAACAAAGAUGAAGAUUGAAAACCUUCAUAGAGGCAAAAACGGAGCAUUCUUUCAAGGAUCAUGAGGCAAGUAGGGUCAUCAUCGACAACAAGUACACGGAGACCCGCCGGAAACUGGUCGGAGACAAGGUUGCCGGAGUUUGAUGGUGAAGUUGAGGUUGACAUGGAAAUUUUGUUGUUGUUGUUGUUGAGUUUCAUGGUUCAAAGAUCCAAAUAGUAGACAACAAAAAAACAAAACACAAUAUUUUGUUGUUUUUCACUUAGUUGAAGUAAAAAGUGAUGAUUUUAUGGAACAUAAUGUUAUUAUUAUAUAUUAAACUAAAAAUGUAUUGGUUGUGGUUUGAUUCUGAAGUUGAAAAUCUGAAACCUUAUAACAGUUGUAACUUGCAAGUUGAUGUUGAUGCUAAGUUCCUAGCUUACUUUAUUAGUUUCACUAAUAUAUAUUUUCUUGUACAUUUGUUUAAUACAUUAUAUCAUUAAAGAUGAAUUCAAAGAUUACAUUUAGUGGAAUGAAUCUUAAAAAAACUAUCAUCUAUGUUUGUACAUAAUUGUAAACUUAAGAAAUUAAAAUUGCAGUUAUUGUUCGAGCUGACUCUUUUGUAAUAUAAUAUUAUUACGUCGUUGGUUUAACUCUUACUGAUGUAUUUCUUUAAAUUUUAAAAUUUGGUUUAAUUCUAAUGAGCUUUGAAAUUUAACUCACAUAAAUUCUUUUUAAGAAAAAUAAAAAAUAAAUUUGUACAAUUAUAAUACUAGUGAGAAUCAAAGGUAGAAAAAAAUUGUAGGAAAAAAGCAACCCUUUUAUGACAUACGAGAGAAAAAUUAGAGAUCAAAAUUUGCAUAAUUGAAAAAUGCUUAAAUGAAGUAAUAAAAAAUUAUAUUGUAGUAAAGGUUUCUGUUUUUCAUACAAAUUUUUAUGACAAUUUAUAUUGUAAAAAUAUCUUCUAAAAAAUAAAGCAAACGAAUGCUCCUCAAUUGUACGGUUUGUGGACCUUCAUAUUGAAGCAUAACCCAGAGCCACGUGCAAGGAUAGGGAGGGCUUUUAGAUUGGACCACUGCAACAUGAAAAUCAAAUUGGCUCAUUCUGACAGUGUUACUAUACAGUGCCUUAAUCCCAUAAAUGUCCAGGUCAAGACUUGGUUGCUUUCGUUACUAUAAAGGAAGCCAUAAACAAAAUGAUGGAAAUGUGUAUUAUUUAUUGACUUAAAUAUGUAAAAAUGUUCCUUUAAGUUGGUGUGUUUUUACAAUUCAUCUUUAUAUCUUGGUUUUUUCUAAAUUGUCUUGGGAAAGAGGUGGGUAAACUGCUCAUCUUAACGUGGCAUCACUAUAACAUGGACAACAGUAAUUCACAAUAAAAAAUGGACGAGGAGAUGAGUUUGAUAUAUUGACCCAGUAUACUUUUGUUAUUAGCAGAUUGACCCAUUAAUUAAUUUUUAAAAAAAAAAUUCCAAAUUAUUUUCUUCUUCUGCAUAACUGUUUUCUUCUUCAAUAUCAAAUAACUGCUUUCUUCUUCUACGUUUUCUUUUAGUUUUUCAAUCCAACCAUUUCUUCCUUCAAUCCAUUCAUAAUUUGGGAACAAAAAUUGAUUCAUCUAUCCGACGAAACUCUCUCAUUCAACUAAUUCUGCGUUUUCAUCUUUCAAUUUUUCAACCCAACCAUUACUUCCUUCAAUCCAUUCGUAAUUUGGUAAAAAAUUGAUUCAUCAACAUCAAAUUCAUCCAUCGUAUUUACUCUCCACUCAUACCGUUUCUUCUCUCUCAUCUUUGGGGAAAAUGCCCUAAGAAACUCAUCUCUGUCACGAAACCCAUCCCUAAGUUUUUUUUCGUUUCACUCUCUCACGGUUCUAUCUCUCUCUCUCUCUGAUGAAACUCCAUAAUCUCUCACGGUUCCAUAAUUUGGGGAAAAACAAAAUUGAUUCAUCUCGACUCAAAGCCUUUCAUCCCUCUCAUUCAACUUAUUCCUCGCGGAUUUGCAAGUAAGUAUUUCUUGUUUUAAUUGCUAUUUAAAUGGUUCAAAUUGUUUUGUUUGAUUUGGGGGUUUAGGGUUCUCCAUGUUUUAAUGAAUAUUGAAUUAUUCACUGGCUGUGAUUGUUUGAUUUGGGAUUUAUGAAUCAUGCUUGGUCUGAUACAAAUAUGUUAUAAUCCUUCUGCAUUUUUUUUAUUCACUCCUCAUGCUUUGUGCUACUUUGUUCUGUGUUAUAAAUGGAGAAGUUGCUUGAAAUCUGUCCCAUUAGCUGUUUUAUUAAGUAAUUAUUUUAGUUGGGGUUCUAGCAGAACAAGAUUGACUUUUUAAUUCUUGUUUAGAUCAAAACCUUUUUCUGGAUAAACCAUAAAUCUUUUCUCAAUGUCCAUCAUCUGAAUCAAAACCUUUUACUACAAGUUGUAACUGUGUUGGAGCUUAUUGAAAAUGUUUUAGUGUUUCACAAGCUAUAUAUCCUUCAGUCAUAUAAUUGACAUAUGGUGCCUAUUUUAUAGAGGCAUUUGGACGGAAAUCCGACAUCAUUACGAUGAAAUCCUAAACCCUAAACCCAACCAUUAUAUGAUGACUGAAGGAUAUAUAGCUUGUGAAACACUAAAACAUUUUCAAUAAGCUCCAACACAGUUACAACUUGUAGUAAAAGGUUUUGAUCCAGAUGACGGACAUUGAGAAAAUAUUUAUGGUUUAUCCAGAAAAAGGUUUUGAUCUAAACAAGAAUAAGAUCUUGCUAUUGUUAUUGCUAUUAAUAUCCCUAUUGUAUAGCCUCUAAAAGGAAUUAAAAAGUCAAUCAUGUUCUGCUAGAACUCCAACUAAAAAAAUUACUUAAUAAAACAACUAAUGGGGCAGAUUUCAAGCAACUUCUCCAUUUAUAACACAAAACAAAGUAGCACAAAACAUGAGGAGUGAAUAAAAAAAAUGCAGAAGGAUUAUAACAUAUUUGUAUCAGACCAAACAUGAUUCAUAAACCCCAAAUCAAACAAUCACAGCCAGUGAAUAAUUCAAUAUUCAUUAAAACAUGGAGAACCCCAAACCCCAAAAUCAAACAAAACAAUUUGAACCAUUUAAAUAGCAAUUAAAACAAGAAAACUUACUUACUUGCAAAUCCGCGAGGAAUAAGUUGAAUGAGAGGGAUGAAAGGCUUUGAGUGGAGAUGAAUCAAUUUUGUUUGCCUCCAAAUUAUGGAACCGUGAGAGAUUAUGGAGUUUCAUCAGAGAGAGAGAGAGAGAGAGAGAGAGAGAGAGAGAGAGAGAGAGAGAGAGAGAGAGAGAGAGAGAGAGAGAGAGAGAGAGAGAGAGAGAGAGAGAGAGAGAGAGAGAGAGAGAGAGAGAGAGAGAGAGUGAAACGAAAAAAACUUAGGGAUGAGUUUCGUGACAGAGAUGAGUUUCUUAGGGCAUUUUCCCCAAAGAUGAAAGAGAAUAAACGGUAUGAGUGGAGAGUAAAUACGAUGGAUGAAUUUGAUGUUGAUGAAUCAAUUUUUUCCCAAAUUACGAAUGGAUUGAAGGAAGUAAUGGUUGGGUUGAAAAAUUGAAAGAUGAAAACGCAGAAGCAGAAUGUAGUCUGGACAAUUUUUUUUAGAAGAUAAAACUUAAUUAAUGCUUGGGUAAAUCUGUAAAAUAACAAAAGUAUAUGGUUACAAUUUAUAAAACUAAAUAAUAAGUAUUUCAAAUACAAUGAGUAUACGUGGCUGCUUUUUAUUAUUGUUAAGAUACAUGGGUAAAUUGCCCAUGUGUUUGUAAAGGUAGGCUAGGCCUCACCUUAUAUCUUUCUUUUUUAAAAAACUAUCAUUGUAAGUUGCUAACCGUUUGUAAUUAUUAUCUUCCGUUAACUCCUAUUACAAAAACGUUGUGGUCGUAGACAUAGAGACAUAUGACGAAGGGUGAGUUGGCAAAAGCAUGUUUAUGUGUCAAGAGAAAUGAUGAGCGGCUAGAAAGGAGAGAUCAGAAUCAAAAAUGCAAAAUUGCACAGGUAUGAAAAUAAAAAAUUAAAAACAUAAAUUUUGUUCAUUCAUCUCCCUCUGUUUUUUUUUUCUUCAUCUCCAACCCCAAUUAAAACUCUACACUUCGAUUUUUAAUUGUUUUUGAUACCUCUUGUGUUGUAGAGCUAAUUGCAGACAAUUCACUAUUAUGGCUUAAACAUGAUUGUUAACUACACACUCACAACAACAAUUCUUCAAUCGAGUGAAAGUCUUUUCCUCUGGAUAAAAUUACCCUUCUUUAUCUUCAACACAAAUCUGGAAAAAAUUACACGGUCCACACACCAUCAACAACCUCACCACAACCUCUUCCAUCACCAACAUCAUCCAUCUCUCAAUCGAAUUGACAACAACUUCCUAUGAAUCUGAAGAACUCAUAAUUCAUCACUCAAUUGAAGAACCCAAAGCACACAACAACAACAACUUCCCUAAUGAAUAUGAGUUUGCAAGGUUAUAUUUUGUUUCGAUUUUGAGGUGUGUUUAGUUCAAUUUUGUAACUCACAACAACAACAUUUAACAACAAAAAUUUUCCUAUGAUAUUGAAGAACCCCAACUUCCUAUGAUAAUGCAAGGUUAUAUAAAUGAUUGAAAUAUAAUAAAUAAUAGUAUAUUAAUGGUAAAAAAUAAUAAAUGUUGCAUCAGUAUUAUAAAGAAGUCUAACAAUUUGAAAUGAAAAAAUAUUAAAAAAGACACUUAAUGUGGGACGGAUGGAGUGUAAAUAAACUUUCUUUUUAUAGCGUGCACAUCUCAAAUGCAACUACUGUCACUUGCAUUGCUUGUGUGUAACAGAUAUGAAUAUGAAUGUUUUUAGGGAAGUUUUGAGGUUCAUGCGACGUUUAACAAAAACAAUUGAUAGAAAAGUAUAGCAGACCCAAGUGUUUUGAGAGAGUUUUACAUUCUUUCAAACUUCGCUCUUCAUUUUCCCCCAUCACUUCUAUGUAUCGUUUUUUUCUCUCAAUAUAUUCAAAUAAGUGAUUUUCAUAUGGAGUAUAUUAAAUUAUAAUUUUAAAGGAUAAAUUUUGUUUAAAAAAGUCUUCAAGGUUUUAAAAAAAUUUAUAGGAUUUUAAUGACUUUCAUGAUUUUAAAAAACUAUUAGAAUUUAUAAUUUGGAUUCCAAUAAAUUUACAUAAUGAUUUUAUAGAUUUAUAAGAUUUUAAAAGAUUUUAUGAAUUUUAAGGACUUAUUGAAAAUAAAGGAUUUUAUGAAUAAAAGAUCGGAGAUAUUAUGAUACUCACUAUUUUUGUUAUAUAUGUGUCCUUCUAGUUGGAACAAGAGUAAUCAUUAGUUUUUUCAUUGAAACACUUCACUCAAUUAUUAGAAUCUAAAAUUAUUAUUGCUAAAAGUAAAAAACCUGGACUUAUUGCAGUUACAAUAUGGUGUAAGUGUCGUUAUAUUAAUGUAUACCGCAGAGAAAGUGUGAAUGGCACGUACUCUAAACUAUAAGCUCUUCCACAGUUUUGUUUAAGCAGAAGAAAAGAAGGACAUGGUAUACACACAACUUGAUCUGACAGAUUCUAUGAAUAAAGGGAUCUUAACAGUGAUGCACCAAGGGUAAUGAACUUUAUACGUUAAAAAACACUAUUAAAAAAACAAACAUUAGUGAGAGAAAUUUAAUGAGAGAAAACAUGAAGUCCUUCACUAAUUUCGUCAUUAAAUUUUACGAUUAAGAAAUUUGUGAGAAAUUUUAUUUUAUUUCGUCAUUAAUUUUUUUGCUAAUUUUAAUUUUCCUAAUAGUGAAACGAGUAAACCACUAAAUAGAUUUCGUCUUUGCAAACCACUUUUAAAUUAAUCCUUUACUCUAUUUACCCAAACUUCAAUUCGUGUAGAGUUUUAUAAAUAAAAUAUUAAAUUGAUUAUAUUAUUAAAAAUCGCCCAUAAAAAAAUUAACAUGGUGAAGCCUUAUAGGAAAACAACAUGGGUAGUUGAAGUUGUUGUUAAUAAGAUCAUAGUACAUAUUAUUGGUUGUUUAUGUAGGUUUUCAAAUUGAGAACAAAGUCACUAUAAAGUGGAACAUUAAAAAAAAGUGAGAUAUACCAAAAAAAAAAAGUGAGAAAUUAAGUAAUUGAAAGAAGUAAUUCUAGAAUAUAUAACCUUCAACUUAGAGGUACAUGCAACGUUACCCUACCAAUGGCUUCUAAAGUAAUAGCACCACAGUUUGAUGCAUUUUUUCAUCGAUUUUCACAGCAAAAAUCUAGUUGAGGAAAAUUCAAGAAGAAUAAGUAUUUUUCUUGGGUUAUAUUCUUUUUGCCUUGGGACAUAAAUUCCUCAAUCUAUUAUUCCAUUCCUUCAUAAAUGUAAACCAAUGGUCACAAAUAAAUAAGAAGUAAAGAAACCACAUAUAAAAAAUGUCAUAUAUGAAUUAAAGUUGAGUAGAAUAGAUUUAUGUACACAACAAAGUAAUGAGACAUGUCUAUGUUGUAAAAUUAGACAUAAAUUAUCUUUAUAAAUAAUAAUCAAUGUAUAAAUAAAAGAAUCAAUAAAAUAUAAACAAAAGAGAGAUCAAUAAACUUAUCUCUUUUAAGAUUGUUGUUGAACUAGAUCACCGACCACAACUCUAUCAACAUUUUUGAUAAUCAAAUCAAACCUGCUACCAAAUCAACUAUUAAAAUUUGUAGAACGAACAAGCAGUGAGGUAGUCUGAGAUGUGUUAAUCGCACUGUCUUUAAGGAUUUUCCACGUAAUUAUACGCUAAUCCUCAGGAUUUAACAGACCAUUCUCGACAUGAAAUUAAGGAAUCAGAACUAACAAAAAUAUAUUUUCAGGAAGAUGAUAACCCAUAGUUGUGUUAUAAACUUAUAGAAGAAGCAUUUUUUAUAGGUAGUGCAUAAGUUUUCAUAUACAUGAAAAAUGGUGUUACUGGUAUUGAAAUUAAAAGGAACGUAUCCUCUAUAGAAAAGUAUCAUAUGCAAAGUAUAACUACCUUCUUAAUUUUGUUUCAGUUGCAAAAUAAAUUACAUGUGCCUAAUUUCAAAGGUGAGUAAAAAUGCUUAGACUUAAUUAAGUCAAAAUGAUGUGGUCAAAAGAAUUAGACCAAAUUAAAUAUUAUAAUAAUUUUUAUUAAAAUAUUUUUCUAUAUUUCUCAAUUGAAAAUGUGGGACACAAAAUAUUCAAAACUUUUGAAAUAUAUUCAAAAUUUACAAUAGUCUAUCCGAGAAGUGGUCGUGUUUGUCAAUCAAUUUAGACUCUUUGUAGUGUCUUUGCUUGUCGUUGUCAUGAUUCAAAUAUAACUCGAUACUGCAAAAUUCUAGAGUAAUGAGUAAUGAUACAUAGACACCCUUAGGUGACAAUACAUCCUUUGACACCCACACAAAAAUCUGACACGUAGUCACGUGGACCCCGCACAAGCACACUUUCUCUUUUCUCUCCUCUUCUCUCUUCCUAAUGCAUGGGGUGUACAAGGAUGUAUGGGAAUAAAGGGUGUCUAUGUAUCAUUACUCAAUUCUAUUAGCAAAAAAUCAAUGAAUGCUUUAAACUGAUUUAUAUAAUUGUCAAUUGCAAGAACAUAUUAAUAUAUAACAUCAAAACAAAACAAAAUAAGCACCAUUACCUUAUCCUCAUAUAAUCAUAUUCUCAAAACCUACAAGAGAAAGUUCAUUUGUGACAUUGAUUAAUGUAUAGACUCCAAUGUAAAAACCAAAAAAGGAAUGUUAUUUGAAUACUCUUUUAUAGGACAACCAAAAUAUAUAAAGCAACCUAGGUUUUGACACAAAAACCAAAAUAAUAAAUAGAGAAAAUGAAAACAUAAUACGAGUAUAAGAGAGAAAAUUAUCAUAAAAGUUAUUAUAAAAUGGUUGUUCAAAUAUCAUUUCUGAAAACUAAAAUACAUAAAAGAGAAAGCAUCACAUUGGUCAUAUUUUUUUAUAUUCCCUUUUGUAUUUGUUUGCCAAAAAAAAUUAGAUACAGCUAAAAAAUGUCAUAUAAUUUUAAAUGUCUAAUAAAUAUGUAUUUUGUUUAUUCAGCAUAACACAUCUACAAUUUUUCAUGCCACUUGCCACCAAAGACAAAAAAUGAAUGAAUUUGAAAUAAUAGAGGUUGAAUGAAGAAUUUCACAUUAAAGAGAAUGACAUCCAAAAACUAAAUUUCAAGAUAAAUAAUUAAACAAAUAACAUAAAAAAAAACUAUAAAAAAAAAAAGUUCAUCAUAAUGGUGUGACUUUCGGGAGAUUCUACAUUGAGUUUGAUCAUCACAUUAGACUAAGAGAAUCCAUACAAGUGAGUUUGACACCACAUUUUCACCCUAAACAAUAAGGUGCUGGGUAUAUGAGUCACAUCACUUAUAUGUUGCUCAACAUCUGCUCCUUUAUCCAGUGUGAAACUUUAAUUCACAUUUGACACAUUGAUAUUUCUCUACUAAGUAUCAGACUCUUCGCAACCGAGAUCUACCCACUCCUACUUCCCCUCAAUAUCGAUUUGGGCUAUGACGCCAUCAUUAUACCUUAUUGAUGAGCCAACAUUAUUGUGGAUCAACCCAUUGCACAGAGAACAACCACAUAAAUAAGAAUAAUACAACAUAUUUUUACCUAAUAUUUUAAAUAUGACAAAAUUCUAACCCGUACACGACACGAGUAUCCAUACUUGUAUACAUUUAUUACUGCUUGAACAAUGGAAAUGGAAAUAUGUAAGGAUACGUGAAACAAACUUUAUUGAUUUAGGAAUGGAAUUAAAUUCAAAACAAUUGAGGAAAAUGACUCAAAAAUUCAUAUUAAUCGGCCAGAGUAGCUAUAUUGUUACUCUAUAACAUUUCACACUUCUGCUUGACGAACCAACAAUAUUAUUAGGAUAGGUUGAAAAAACAUAGACAAUAGUCCUUUGAAUUAAUCAUGUCGCUUGGGGUCUCUCAAUCUUUUAAGUUCUUCAAUUAAAGCCAACAAAUUAUUAUAAGACGAGCCACCUUCUUGAAUAGCUUGUGUAGCCUUUUCUCCAAACUCUUGAGCAAGUAGCCUCAUAUUUUUAGCUUCAUCACCAUUCUCCAUCAAUCUCCUCACAGCCUUCUCUAUGUUAUCCCUGCUCACCAACUUCUCUCUCUCCGCAACACCAUUCUUACACCAUUCCGUUGCACCGACUUCCACUCCAAUUCCUCGAAAUUGUGUUACCAGUUUCUCGUUGUAGAAUUGAUCUCCAUGAACCGGCCACGUUAUCAUUGGAACUCCCGCACUAACAGACUCUACAAUUGAGUUCCCCCCGCAAUGCGUCAUAAAUCCCCCCACCGCAGGGUGGCUCAAUAUCUUAACUUGUGGGGCCCAACCCUUAAUGAUCAAACCCAUCCUCCUAAUGUUUCUCUCUUCGAAUCCCUUUGGCAACCACUUUUCUUUCUCUUCCUCACUCUCAUCUUCUUUCCCUUUCUUCUCAGGAACAACCCAUAUGAAUGGGUGACUAGAUGCUUCUAUUGCGCACGCCAUCUCAUAUAGUUGUUUAUCAGAGAAAUAGUUGAUGCUUCCAAAACAUAUGUACAACACCGAGUUAACUUUCUCUGAGUCGAGCCAACUCAUGCAUUCGUGCAUGUUCACAUCACCCUCCUUUCCCCUCUCUGCUUUCUCUUGAAUGGUUUUACGAAUAAGAGAAGUUGGACCGAGAUGCCAAACCUUGUGACCCGUGGUUUUCUCAUAGUGUUGGAUGCACUCUUCUCCGUCAAGUUCAGUGAAGUUGUUGAUGAUGAGUGCUUUACUUUUGAGCACUGUCCCAAGCAUCAUUUUUAGGAAUUUGCUAAUUACCUUUGGCGGUUUUCCGCACAAGGUUAUACGAUGAGGAAAAUUUGGAACAACAAAGGAACUUGAAUCCAAAUCAGAAUUAGUAUCAGAAUGAAGUAAGUUGUUUGCUUGGAGGGAUUCCACGAGAGAGACGGUAAAAAGUGACAAUCCAUUGAAUGUGAGGUUUGGGAUCUGAAGCUUAUGCGCCAAGUCAUUAGCCCAUGGGUAUGCGGAGUCGGAGAUGAUACAAUCUGGUGGAUCUUUCUCCAUGAAAUCCUCAAUGGAUCCAUGGAGGAGCAUUGCGCCACGGUGGAUCUUCCAAGAGGUCAUAGAGUCAGUGGUGGAAGACAUAGAUUCAAUGCCUUCAGGGAGGUCGACUUGUUGGGAGGGAAAGUCGACGGUGUGGAAGCGGAGGAAGAAGGAAGCCGCGGAUGAGAGAGAUUUGGUUAGGGAUUGAGCGUUGGAGGGAGUGGUGAUGAUUGUGACUUGUUGGCCACGGGAUGCAAACAUAGUUGCUAUGUCACAAAGAGGGAUCAUAUGUCCAGAUGCUAGAUAUGGAAUGAAGUGAAUUUUCAGUGGUCGUUCCACUUCAACACCUUCCAUUGUUGAUAAAUUUAUUCUAUUAUAUUCUAUUCACUAUUCACGUUUCUAUAUCUCCCCGUGUGUGAGUGCAUGAGUUCAAGUUCGACCAUACUUUCGUUUUUAUACGUAAAUAAUAUACUUAUUAUUCAUAUUAUUUUAUUCCAUCUGCACGAGAGCCACGAGGAGAGUAAGAGAACACAAGUUAUCAUCCAUAUGAAUAUUAUGAACCUCUUGUAAUAACACAUGUUUAAAUUCGUACGAUGAAUAUUUAUGAACAUUAUGUGACAAUACAAGUUUAAUUUCGUACGCUUUAGUUGGUGGCUAAAUCUCAAACCGAAGUUGUAGAGACAAACGUUCAACCAAAUGACCUUUUAAAGACAGACAGUUUAAAUUCGUACUCUAUAGACAAUUAAAUUGGAGGCCCUUCUGUCCUACUUGGGUGCGAGUAUGGUGACUUCAUCUUUUUCUCUCUUCUAUCAAUCAUUCCCUCUUUAUCAAAGUAAUUGAUUUUAAUCAUUUAUCAAUCAAUCAAUUAUUUUAUCUUUAUCACCAUGAUAUAUAUUGUUUAAUCUUCAUUGGAGAAUUUAUCAUUUUUGUCUCCAUGAUAUUGGUACAGAGUUUCCAUCGUCGCUUAACGAUGAUUAAUCUUUGUUGGAGAAUCUAUAGAAUACAUAAGGUGAGUUUUCCCUUCCAAUUUUUUUUCUUCAUACACAUAAAUCAAGAAUCGAACACCUAACCAUAUGUUUAAAGUGUUAAAGUUCCUUACCACUUGGACCAAUAUGUUAUUGAUUCAUUAUCUAUAACUAAAUAAACUAAAAUUAUUAAAGUCCCCAAAAGUUACCCAAAUUUAACGUCCACAUGUUUUUUAAACGAUAAAGCAAGUAUUUAAUUUUAUUUAAUCAAAUCCUUAAAUUUUUUAUUCAAUCUAAAUAUUUGACCUUACCAACAUUAUAUUGGUUUGGAUGAGUACAGGCAUCUGAUAGCAUGAGAGGAUUUUCAUUAGAGAUGAAAGGAUGCCAUGAAGUGAGAUGAUCGUUCCUCAAUCCAUGAGAAAUUGAGAUUUUUAGUUUAGAUUUUGUUGAAUUUGACAAAUGAGUUUAAAAAUAGUGGAUGUCGAUUCAAAACAACUUUGCAUAGAUAAUCAAUAAAAACAUUCAAAAUUGAGAUAAGAUAGUUACACAGAUAAUCAAUGAAAACACUUAAAAUUGAGAUAAGGUAGUGAUAUAGAUAAUCAAUGAAAACAACUUUACAUAGAUAAUCAAUGAAAACACUUAAAAUUGAAAUAUUUAACUUUUUUUAUAAAAUAAUUUAUUCUUUUGAAUCUUUAAAGAGUACUUCGGAGGCACUCACUGAUUUAAGUUUUUUUUAAUUGGUUGUAUUUGAAAAGUUAUUUUAAAUAGAGAAAUGAUAUUUUCUCUAUUGUUUUUUACCAUUAAGAAGAAGAAAAAAAAAUUGUCACAAAUUACUCAUCGUUUAUUACACACAUUUUCUUUUUGUCCUUAAAUAGCUCAAUUAGAGUUUUUGUUUUUGUUCCGCAUUUUAUAUAUUUUGUUGUCUUCGCUUAAUUAGUUGUUACUCCUUCCACUACAAAAUACAUGUUACAAUAUUGGAAUGUGUACUAUCUAUUUAUCUGACUCACUUUAAUCAUAUUUGUUAACUAAUAUAUAAAUACACAUUUUAACAUUUAAAUGUUGUUUGAUUUGUCUCCAUAAAUAUUUUAAAAUAUUAAUUUUAUUUUUUUAUUUUUUACUUUAGAUAAUUAAAUAUAUUAACAAUUAAAAUUGUACAUUAACAUAUAUGAAGUAGUUGAGUUCGACAUAUAUUUUAAAAAGGAUGUAAUAGUUUUUGGGAUUUUAGUUUUCUUAUAAUGGGGUCCUAUCCGUUUCCUUUAAAAAGAAAUUACAAAAUCAUAACUGCAUCCCUAUUCAAUUUUACAGUAUGAUAAUUAAAAAUAUUGUUGAACUAAAUUACGACAAUUGUGUAAAAAAAAAAAGCUAAAUUACGAAAGCAUAAUCAAAAUAGCUACAAAAUGAUAUAAAUUUUUUCUCUCCAAGUGAGAAGUAAACCUACAAAAACCUAAUAUCAUCAUUAGAAAUGCUUGUGUUUCCAUCUAGCUAUCUUCAUGAAUCGCUUUGAACGGUAAGAAGAAGAUUGAAGAGCUUCAUAGAGGCAAAAACGGAGCAUUCUUUCAAGGAUCAUGCAUGAGGCAGAUCAUCAGCUACAAAAAGUACAGAGACCCACCAGAAACUGGUUUGAAGUUGAGGUUUGCAUGGAAAUUUUGUUGUUGUUCAAUUUCUGAGAUCCAAAUGGUAUUUAGAUUCUUGGAAAAUUGGUUUGGCUAGCUAAAACAUGAGAAGUGAAUUUUGUGUUAAUUCAAUCUCAUUUAGUUGUAAGCUUAUAAGGAAGCAUUUUGGAGCAACUGUAUCUUGGUAAAAAAAUAAUUUAUCUUUCUUUUUUUCUAUUCAAAUAAUUUGUACUGCCUACUAAUUUGGUGAAUUGAUAUAAACCUUCUUGCCAAAAGGUAAUCUAUAAGCACUACAUCUACUAUAUAACAACAAUAACUAAGCCUUAUCCCACUAAAUGGGGUCGGCUACAUCGAUCAAAUGACGCCAUAAUGUUCUAUAAUAAACCAUAUUUGGGCCCAUCUCAUUAAUAUCUAAAAUUUUUUCAAUAAUUUCUCUCAUAGAUUUUCUAAGUUUUCCUCUACCUCUUUUGAUUUGACUCUCCUCCAUCUGAUCUACUAUCACAAUUAUCUUUAAUCAGAGGACUUGAAAUCAAGUAAUGUAUAAACCUUCUUUAAAUAGAUAUUUGAGAACAAAUUCAUGUUCAAGUGACCUCUUUUGUUAAAGAAAAUGAUACCAUUUCUCUUUGAAUGUUUGCAUUUUGUAGCAAUAAAGACAUGUCUAAAACGUGUUUGCAAAAAAUUAACUUUGUUUUUUAUUGAAUAUGUGUAAUACAAUUUAGAAAAUGAGUAUUUAUCGGUAAAAAUUAUUUCUACUAGUCAAACAACAUGGCCACAAUGUCCAACCUCUACUCGGCUAAUUUUAAAGGCAGUGUGUUAGUUUCCCUCAAUGAGGGGAUCAAGGCACCCCACGUUCGACUCUUAGCUUCCUCUUUCACGACAUGAUUUGUUGACAAGAUCCUUGGUGUGAAGCUUUCACACAUUUAGUGGCUUUAUAAAUAGAGAGUGUGGAUUUUCAGCAUCAUUGUUCCUGAUCUUUGACUUGGUAUGUGAUUCUCAAGAUCCAUGUAUGUUAUUAGACUUUGAGAAAGAAUCAACUUUCCUUCAGUAGAUUGUCCUAACCUUUGCCCAACCUUGCAUCUGUUGCGGGGUUUCCUUGCCUAAACCUAGCAAUUAUUUCUAGUUGUAAACAAAUAUUUUGGACCAAAAAUUUUAAUUUUAUAAAAUCUUUUCUUUGAUUACAAAUAUAAAAAUGUUUAAUUGAGAAAAUUAUCAAAUUUUCAAAAUAAUAAAGGGUUUGUUCAAAUUGACUUUGUAAUAUACAUGGAGUCUGAAAAGUAACUCUAUAAAAAAAACAAAGAUUCUACCCCACCACUUUGAGAUUCUUCUUAUUUUUUACCUCAUAAUUUUCCCUAUAGCCAUAAAGUCUAGAAAAGUGACCUAUAGAUUGAAUUUUUUCAUGAUUUUAUGCACACAUGUUUGUGACGUUAAAAUCUGACUUUUCAUAUAAAAUUAGAAAUUUUUGACUGAAAAAACAAAACAGAAAUUUUAACCUAAAAAUCCAAUUUUGAGUGAUAUUGUGCAGAAACUCCUAUAAAAUACAUAGAGAUUUUUUUGAAAGAAAUAAAAUACAUAGAGAUGAUUUGCAAAAAUGUGCAAACUUGCAAUUUUGAUUUUUCAACAAAAACAUACAGAAAUGCAAUUUUGUUCCGAAUAAAAAUAUUCACCAUUAAAAUACGAAUUAAUUAUGAAUUAUUUAAAAAAUUCAUAAUUACAUGAAACAAAAAUUAUCAAGAAGGGUUAUUAUCAACUUCUGCAAAUUCAUAAUCCUUCCCGAAAACCUAUCCAAUGAAAUAUAAGACAAUUUGAAGUUUAUAAAACUUAUCAUACUAUUAGUGUUUGUCAAUGUGGGACUGUCUUUAAAGCCCAUUUUUGGGCUUUUAAGAAGGUUUAGAAGAAGAAACAUAAAAUAGAAUAAUUCAGUAGCCCCUUUAGGAAGCAAGCAUUUAUCCACCACUUCAGCCGUUCUAAAUGCAUCACUGCACUCCAUCCCUUUUCUCAAUCUCUCAACCCUUGUCCAUUUUAAGUUUUGAUUUCCAAAUGCAUCAAUAUAUAUUGAACUACUAGAAGUUUUGGAGGGCUCAACUAGUUUGUUUCGGCAGUGUAAGUUAAUUAAUUCGGAUCCAAGCAUGCUUUUGAAGCUGCCAACCAAACAUAUCCAAACUGGCAAAUUUAUGUUUUAUCUACUUUUAUUUAUUCUUUCAUUUUUAAUCUCAUUGUUUGUGUUUUCAAAUAUAAAUAACAGAUAUGCGAUAACUACCGUGAAAUCAUACAGCUACAUACUUCAAUUUGCCUCAAAGGAAUAUAAAUGGUUAUGGGAUUCGGAGAAUAGUGUUUUCACUGUCAUCUCAUCUUAUGCUUUGAUCUCAAGAAUAUACUGACCUGAAGUCAAUAUGGGUAGUCUAGAGAUAUGGAUGUUUCAUCGUAUUUGGAAAAGGUAGGUGCCUUCAAAGGUUUUGAAUAACAUGAUUCAAAAUAGAUGUGCUCUAGCUCAUCGUGGAGUCAUUUUGCAGGAUAUGACCGAAGAUUGUAUUCGGUGUGUGAAUCAAUCAGAAACAACCUUCCAUUUAUUUCUACAUUGUGAUUUAGGGCCUACAAGGUCACAGGUCAGCUGAGUCUUUACCGACUUCUGUUGGUGUCCGGUUUGUAGCUGUCUGCUUGGCGCUUCAGCUGUGUUUUGUUGUCGUUUAGGUUGUGUUCGCGCCUCCUUCUGUUUUUCUCCUACCAUUUGUGUGUUUUGUGACGUCGUGUUUCUCUGUCUUUGUUUGUUAUAUCUUAUCAGCCGAUUGUUGUUUUAGGAGAUUUCUUUGCUGUCAUUAGAUGCAUUCAUUAAUUGGAAAAGAGAAUUACAUAAAUUCCUUGUCCAUUUGAAACAUAAAGUCAACUUUAUCCAAACACAUGAAGUCUAUGGUACAUUCUCUUCAUUCUUCCACUUUUAAGAUCAUUCUUUGUUGAAAUCUUGUAGAAUAUGGGUCCUUCUUUCUUUGUUAAUGAAAACAUGAGAAUUCAGUCCACAAUAUAAGAAUAAAGGUUAAAGAACUUCAUUUGUAAAAUAAUGUUCUGCAUAACUUAAACAUCAAACAAAUCAUGUGUAAUGAAACUUGUUAAUGUUCUGCAUAACUUAAACUUCAUUUAUUGUCUCUGGUGUAGGGCUCUUGAACAUAUUUUUGAAUGUUAUACUAUAAGAAAUAAAAGUACAAUGUGCAAAAACUAUCUCAGGCAAAAUAUGAGCAAAGUCGGUCUAAAUCCAAAGAAGAUAUUCCUCAUGCUUUAAAUUGAUAUCUUGAUGAUCUUAUUCAUCAAUACUAUCAAAUUAUUGGCUAUUAGGGCAGAAAUUAACAAACAAAAAAGAUGUCAAUAACAAAUGAUGCAUACCUUCUCCAAGAGUACGGAUCUAGGAUAACAAAUGAUGUUAAUUUUCAUAUUGAAAUAAAAACCUGUAAAACUUUCAAAGAAGAAAAACUCGAUAAAAAAAAUUAGAUAGAUCGAGUAAAAAUUGGUCGAGUCGAGAACAAAUUUUUCAAUGUGAACUAUGUAAUCCUACAACUCUUUGUGGACUACAUGAACAGCGAAAAUUGAUUGGCGUGAGUAAAUUGUUGAAAAAACCAGCAAGCAUUAAGAGCUAAAAAAUGAAAUAUGAAAAAACAAAAAACAAAUUAUGACGUCGAAAUGCAUCCAAUAUAUAAUCUAAUAAUAGCAUAAAACAAAUUGUAACACUUCAAAUUCAUGAAAGUCGGCGAUAUGACAACAUUACCACACCCCUGCAGUCCUAUCUGCAAUGAGCGAAGCAAAUUCCACCGACAUGUCCUGACCCACCACCGACAGACGCCUCAACGACGACACCAAUGGAUCAUCAACACGACAAGAGAUCCAUCGAAAAAAAUACAACAGUGUUGGUGCACAGAUUGUAGAUGAUUGAAAACCAGACAUGAAAGAAAUGCAUUCGAACCAAACUUGGUAUGUAUAGCGAAUGAAACAAAUUAGGGGCUAAUCUUCGGUCAAAAGAAAAAGAAACAGACAGGAUCCCACAAAAUCUAGAGAUUUAAAGUACAGGAACCAGCUUUACAGGAUUCUUCCAUUUCAUUCGACUGUAAACAACGGCAAUGUCAGACUGACAGAAGUGUUGACAUAAACACUCUCGCAGUUGAAAAAUUAAAAUAAAUGCAAAAACACAUUAAGAAGUUAGAAUAGCCACGUACACACCAAAAAUUGAAUCAAAACAAUUAAGGAAAACUAUUCGAAAAUUCAUGUUAAAUCUGCCAGAGUAGCUAAAUGUUACUUCAUUGAUUUGAGAGUACUUGUGGCAGGUAUUGUGGAAUCAAAAUCCAAAAAAGAGAAAACAAGUCACUUGAAUUCAUAGAAAAAAUCCAAAACAUUCACACUUCCGCUUGACGAAACCACGAUGUUAUUAGGAAAAGUUGAAAAAAUUUAGACAAUACUCAUUUGAAUUAAUCAUCCAGCUUGAGGUCUCUCAAUCUUUUAAGGUCUCUCGAUCUUUUAAGUUCGUCAAUCAAAGCCAACAAAUUAUUAUAAGACGAGCCACCUUCUUGAAUAGCUUGUAUAGCUUUUUCUCCAAACUCUCGAGCACGUAGCCUGAUAUUUUCAGCUUCAUCACCACCGUCCAUCAAUCUCCUUACAGCCUUCUCUAUGCUAUCUCUGCUCACUAACUUCUUUCUCUCCGCGACACCACUCGUACACCAUUCUGUUGCACCGACUUCAACUCCAAUUCCUCGGAAUUGUGUUAUCAGUUUCUCAUUGUAGAAUUGAUCUCCAUGAACCGGCCACGUUAUCAUUGGAACUCCCGCACUAACAGCCUCUACGGUUGAGUUCCCCCCGCAAUGCGUCAUAAAUCCCCCCACUGCAGGGUGGCUCAAUAUCUUAACCUGUGGGGCCCAACCCCUAAUGAUCAAACCCUUCUUCCCGAUAUUUCUCUCUUCAAAUCCCUUCGGUAACCACUUUUCUUUCUCUUCUUCGCUCUCAUCUUCUUUCCCUUUCUUCUCAGGAACAACCCAUAUGAAUGGGUGACCGGAUGCUUCUAUCGCACAUGCCAUCUCGUAUAGUUGUUUAUCAGAAAAAUAGUUGAUGCUUCCAAAACAUAUGUACAACACUGAGUUAACUCUCUCUGAAUCGAGCCAACUCAGGCUCUCGUGCACAUUCACAGCACCCUCAUUUCCCCUCUCUGAUUUCUCUUGAGCAGUUUUGCGAAUAAGAGAAGUUGGACCAAGAUGCCAAACCUUGUGACCCGUGGCUUUCUCGUAGUGUUGUAUGCACUCUUCUCCAUCAAGUUCACUGAAGUUGUUGAUGAUUAGUGCUUUACUUUUAAGCACCGUCUCAAGCAUCAUUCCCAUGAAUAUACCGAUUACCUUUGGCGGUUUUCCACACAAGGUGAUAUGGUGAGGAAAAUUUGGAACAACAAAGGAACUUGAAUCCGAAUCAGAAUCUGUCUGAGACUUAAGUAAAUUGUUUGUUUUGAGGGUUUCCACGAGGGAGACAGCAAAAAGGCACAAUCCAUUGAAUGUGAUGUUUGGGAUCUGAAACUUAUCGGCCAAGUCAUUAACCCAUGGGUACGUGGAGUCGGAGAUGAUACAAUCCGGUGGAUCAUUCUCAAUGAAAUCCCCAAUAGGUUCUUUAAGGAGCAUCGCGCCAGUAUGGAUCUUCCAAGUGGUGGUGGGGUCCGUAGUUGAAGACAUAGAUUCAAUACCUUCAGGGAGGCCGACUUGUUGGGAGGGGAAGUCAACGGUGUGAAGACGAAGGAAUGAAGGAGCGUCGGAUGAGAGAGAUUUGGUAAGGGAUUUUGCGUUGGCGGGAGUGGUGAUGACUGUUACUUGCUGGCCACGGGAUGCAAACAUAGUUGCUAUGUCAAAAAGAGGGAUCAUAUGUCCAGAUGCAAGAAAUGGAAUGAAGUAAACUUUCAAUGGUUGUUCAACUUCAACACCUUCCAUUGCUUAUGGAUCAAAUUAUUCUCUCUAUUCUAUUCUAUUCUAUUCACGUUUCUAUGUUUGUGUUUGUCACUGUGAGUGCAUCUCUAUAUAUUCAAUUUCAACCAUACUUUGGUUUAACAUAAAUAAUUUACUUCUUUAAUAUUAUAUGUUGUUUUUGUUAUUAGUUUAUCUAUGAUCUAUGUGCUCGUGUCCCACGAGGAGAGGAAUCUUUUCCGCGAGAUUUCCAUCUUAGUUUUGAAUGCCGACUAUUAAUACUAAAUUAAAGAUUGUAACUUCAUCCUUCAAAAGAAAAAAUUGUAUCAGAUACAAUUUGUUGUGCAUUCCCAAAUGACAACUACAUGCUACACUCGAAAAUUUAAAUGUAUCAGAUACAUAUGAUUUUAUAUUAAUAAUUAAAUGAGUUUUUUAUUUUGAAAAAGAAAUAUUUUUUAUCUAUACUAUAUAUAAAGAGAACUAUCCCUUUCAGUAUUUUUUGGUUAUAUUUUUCUUUCCAAAAUUUUUUAAUACAAAUAAUACAUGUAACAAUUAGAUAAGAAUAAAUUUGAAUAUUAAAACAAAUGUAACAAACACGAUAUGAAUAUACUUACUUUUUCAUCAUUCCAAUUAUAUCCUUAAACAACUUUUUCUAUAAUAAAAUUGUUGUUGCUGUCAUUAAAAAGGAAUUUAGAUUAUAUUUUUUGUUAUAUUGUAUUAUUGUGGGUGUUGUUGAAAUAGAUAAUCAUAGUUAGUUGAUUUUUAUAAGUUGAAAGAAACAAACAUUUAUAUAUUUUUUAGUUUUAAUCAAAAUCAAAAUUUCAUAAAAAAAACAUCAUUCAUAAUUUUCAAACAUUAGCGCAAUAAAAAGAGCGGAAAGACGGGCACGUGAGUACCCGUCUUUUCGCUAGUCUUUAUAACUUUAAUAACUAAAUCUUAUUUACAAAACGUGUUGGCGAAAUAAAAUUGAUUUUUUUUCUUUUUUUUGUAACUCAUAAUAGAGAAUAUUGAUCAUAUAUUACGAUAAAAUGUAAAAUAUUUAGUAUAGUUCUUAUAAACAAUGAAAUAAUAUUUUUUUUCUUCGUAUGGAAUGAUAUUUUCUAAAGUAUAAAGUCGACAAAUAGCUCUUUAUUUAAUAAAAAUUAUCAUUAAUUUAUUGAUUUAAGGAUUAAGUGUAUCUCUUCUUCAGUUCAACCAUACCUCUCAUCUAGGUAAGUGCCUUGAAUUUCCUAUGUUGUCUAGUAGAGUUCAGAAUUCUGAGUUCAAUUUUAUCCUAGACAAGAUCGAUGGCAGGUUGGAAAAUGAAUUUACUAAGUUGAUCAGGACGGGUUACCUUGGUCAAAAGUGUUGUGACUGCUAUGCCUAUUUAUUCCAUGAAGAACCUUUGACUUCCAUAUGGUAUUUGUGAAAAUAUAUAUGCUAUUAUUCGCUCCUUUAUAUGAUGAAGGAAUUAUUGUCGUUGGGUGAAUUGGAAGAGCCUGACUAUGCCAAAAUCUCAUGGGGUUUAGGCAUUCAUACAACCGGGAACUCGAACAUUUCUCUUCUCGGCAAACACGUAUGGGAUAUUUUACCCCAACCACGAAAGCUCUGGGUUCAGAUGUCGAGACACAGAUACUUGUCUGACACUCAUAUUCUGCAUACUCAUUUUAAGCCCGGUGAUUCUUGCAUUUGGCGUGUUGUUGUGAAAGCAGUGGAAAUCUUGGGGACAUUCUUCAUUUGCACGGCUGGAAGAGGUCAGGUAUCCAUACGGUAUGAUAAAUGGUUAGAUAAUGUUUAUCUUUGUAAUGUUAUGUCAUAUGUUCAUAUUAGAGAUACAAACUUUCGUCUUUAUGACUUGUUGGAAAUUGGGGAUUGGAACUUCAACAAAAUCUAAACUCAGCUUCCAUCUUUUUACCAAGAUUGCAUUUGUAGCAUUACCAUUGAUCAUGACAAUGAGGAUAGACUUAUUUGGAUUGCUUAUCCAAAUGGUCAGUUCUCAGGUAGUUAUGGAUAUAGGUAGUUAAAUCAGAAUCUAACUUAACAAUUAGAACCUGUUAUUUGUUGGAGUUGGAUUCAGAGGCUAUCGGUUUCUAAAAAUCUAAGACAUUUUAGCUGGCUUGGGAUGCAUGCUAGUCUCCCUACGAAUGCCUUCUUUGGUUCAAGACAUCUUACCUCUGGUACUUCUUGUCAUAAAUGUGGUGCAUAUGUUGAAAGUGGUAUGCAUACUCUUCGUGAUUGUCCUAGGCAAAGAAUAGGCACAUUUGUCCUACUUAUCCUAACAACUUCUAAAUACAAGAUUGUCAGAUUUUGUUCAAACAUCAUGUUGUUAGGGGGACGGGUACUAUGUUCAUAGUAGCCUGCUAUGGAAUUUGGAGGAAUAAAAUGAAGAGAUUUUUCAAAAUAUUACGAAAGCUACAUGGGCAUCGUUAAUAACAUAAUAUCAUAUCAUUCUUCCAUGGUUCUUGCUCUCGCCCCCAUAAAUAAACACCAUGUGACUGGUUAAGUUCGUUGGAAUCCUCCACCGAAAGGCUUUAUUAAAAUCACUAUGGACGGAUCUUCUUUUGGUAAUCCUGGUAAUGCAGGUUUUUGAGGUCUUCUGAAAAAUAAUAGGGCGAAUUGGAUUCAUGGUUUUUCUGGAUCUUGUGGUAGAGAUACUAAUUUUUUGGUUGAUCUUUCAUUUACUUGGAAGGGUCUUCAGUUGGCGUGGGAUCUUGGUUAUAGGUAUAUCAUCAUGGAGUCUGACUCUCAUGCUCCUUUGGAUCUUAUUUUUGAUACUAAAUAAAAUGAUUUUCAUCCCCAUGCAAUUUUGCUUUUUGUCUUUAGCAAGCUUUCUUCUCUUCCGUGGGUGGUCUCAUUUACUCAUAAUUUAAGAGAAGGUAACAAAUGUGCUGACUGGUUGGCUAAAUUUGGUACAACUAAUACCAACUCCUUGAAGAUGUGGACUUCUCCUCCUCCUCAAUUAAUAUCGGCCACCUUGCGGAUACCUGAGGUAUUUAGGUAACAUAUUGACUAGUUUGCUUUUCCCGUCUUUUAAUUUCCUCUUGAUCAAAAAAAUAAAAAUAAGUAUAUCAGUAUACUUCAAUUUGUGAUUGUACUGUAGAAUCUCCCCCGACUAUUUGUGGAUGCAAGUGGAUCAGAAUUCUAGAACUCGCAUGUAUUGAUCGUUUACAUAUGUUGAUUUUUUUUGUCUUAAAUGCACCUUUGGUUCUCUAUUUUAGAGAUGACAAAAUGGGUAGACCCGUUUAGUGCAUCUUUUUAAACAGUGUGGAUUGAAAUUUUGAACAUGUCGUUACUAGAUGAUCUGCCUUGCCUAACCCGCUAAAAUAACGGGCCAUAGACGUGACAAACAAGUUGACCUGUCGAGUUAAAAUAAAUUAAUUUUUUUUUAUGUAUAAGUCACAAUUUGUUUUACAAUUUUCUUCUCCAUAAAGUAGAGAAUCAUUCAAUUUAAUUACUUGAUUUAAUAAUUUGAGACUUAUGCUUCUAAUAGUUUGUUACUUGGUGAACUUCUGAACUUUUUAUUUUAAUUAUCAUCUUGGCUUAUUAUAGAUUUUUAGAAGAUGAAACAUGGAUAUUUGAAUGAUAAAUUCUACAUUUUUAAUGAACAUAUUAGUUACUUAUUUCGAUCUCUUUAAAUUAGCCUUAUAUUUAUUUAUUUUUACACUUUUUACAUUGUUUUUUGAAGUUUUUAAUUAAUACUUUUUCCAUUUAAAAAAAAAUAACAACAGGUCAAUCCGCCACAAAAUAGGGUUUGGACGAGAUUUUCAACCAUAUAUCUCUAGUUUGUCUGCCCGCUCCGCUCCAUUUUAAACGAGUUAGUAACGAGCCCGGGACAUAUUGACCUAUUUUGUCAUCCCUGAUCUAUUCUCAAAUUUUUUGAAGUUUAAGUCUUCUUUUUUAAAAAUUUGGCUGAGAACAAUUUAUUAAUAUGAAAUAUGCAAUCCUACACCUCCUUAUGGAUUACACGAACAGAGAAAAUUGAGUGGCGUGAGUAAAUUGUUCAAAAAACCAGCAAGCUUUAAGAGCUAAAAAAUUAAAUAUGAAAAAACAAAAACAAAUGACAUUAAGGAAGGUUUGAUAUGUACCUUUGUCCCAAAUUGUAAGCAAAAAUUGAUCAACAAAAAAUUAAUAUCUUUAGUUCAAAAUUUGUGCUAAAUGCAUCAAUUUAUGUUGACACAUUUUUCUUAUAUUUUGAGACGGAGGAAGUAUGCAAUAUAUAUAAUCUAAUAAUAACAUAGAACAAAUCGUAAGACUUCAAAUUCAUGAAAGUCAGCAAUGAAUGAAGUAAGAGAAAUGAUAUUUGUACAAUUUUUUUUGACAACUUUUUCUCUCAUACUCACAUUAUAUUUUUGAGGAGUGAUAUUUGUACAACCAAUUUUAUACAAUUUUUGUGACAACCACUUUUUCUCUCUUCUUAUUGGACAAAAUCAAUAGAGAGAGAAAGAAAAUGAGAGAGAAUAAAAACACAUGUGAGUAUGAGAGAGAGAAUUGUUUCAAAAGUUGUCAAAAAGUGAUUGUACAGAUAUCAUUUCUCUAUAUUUUUACUCUAUCCUUUUUUUUUUCUCUCUCCAUUGUUUUUGACUGAUAAGAAGAGAGAGAAAUGAGAUAAUCAUAAAAGUUGUUAACAAAUGAUUGUUCAAAUAUCAUUGCUCAUUAAGUAAAUUCCACCGAUUGUAAAAACACUUUGGCAGUUUGAAAAAUUGAAAAUAAAUGCGAAAACACAUUAAGAAGUUAGAAGAACCACGUACACAACAAAAUUGAAACAAAUAGUGGAAAUUUUUGUUCUUCCUUGUCAAGAUUAUUGAUUAAUUACAAUUACAGGAAACUAUUCAAAAAUUCAUAUUAAAUCUGCCAUGGUAGCUAUAUUGUUGCUUCAUUGAUUUGAGAGUACUUGUCGCAGAUAUUGUAGAAUCAAAAUCCAAAAAACAUAAAAGGAAUCGCUUGAAUUCAUGUGCAAAAUUCAUAUAACACACAUACUUCUGCUUGACGAAACAACAAUGUUAUUAGAAAAAGUUGAAAAAACUUACACAAUGCUCCUUUGAAUUAAUCAUGCGGCUUGAGGUUUCUCAAUCUUUUAAGUUCAUCAAUCAAAGCCAACAAAUUAUUAUAAGAUGAGCCACCUUUUUGAAUAGCUUGUGUAGCCUUUUCUCCAAACUCUCGAGCACGUACCCUGAUAUUUUUAGCUUCAUCACCACCGCCCAUCAAUCUCCUCACAGCCUUCUCUAUGCUAUCUUUGCUCACCAACUUCUCUCUCUCCGCAACACCACUUGUACACCAUUCUGUUGCACCGACUUCAAUUCCAAUUCCUCGAACUUGUGUUAUUAGUUUCUCGUUGUAGAAUUGAUCUCCAUGGACUGGCCACGUUAUCAUUGGAACUCCCAUGCUAACAGCCUCUACGAUUGAGUUCCCCCCGCAAUGCGUCAUAAAUCCCCCCACUGCAGGGUGACUCAAUAUCUUAACUUGUGGGGCCCAACCCCUAAUGAUCAAACCCUUUUUCUCGAUGUUUUUCUCUUCAAAUCCCUUCGGCAACCACUUUUGUUUCUCCUCUUCGCUCUCAUCUUCUUUCCCUUUCUUCUCCGGAACAACCCAUAUGAACGGUUGACCUGCUGCUUCUAGUGAGCAUGCCAUCUCAUAUAGUUGUUUAUUAGAUGAAUAAUUGAUGCUUCCAAAACAUAUGUACAAUACUGAGUUAACUCUCUUUGAGUCAAGCCAGCUCAGGCACUCGUGUACAUUCACAAAAACCUCGUUUCCCCUCUCUGAUUUUUCUUGAACGGUUCUGCAAAUAAGAGAAGUUGGACCAAUAUGCCAAACCUUGUGACCUGUUGUUUUUUCGUAGUGUUGGAUGCACUCUUCUCCAUCAAAUUCACUGAAGUUGUUGAUGAUAAGUGCUUUACUUUUAAAUAUUGUCUCAAGCAUUGUUUCUAGGAAUGGGAUGAUUAACUUUGGCGGUUUUUCACAUAAGGUGAUAUGAUGAGGAAAAUUUGGAACAACAAAGGUACUUGAAUCCGAAUCAAAAUUUGUAUCAGAAUGAAGUAAAUUGUUUGUUUUGAGGGUCUCCAUUAGGGAGACGGCAAAAAGGCACAUUCCGUUAAAUGUGAUGUUAGGAAUCUGAAACUUAUGGGCCAAGUCAUUAACCCAUGGGUAUGCAGCGUCGGAGAUGAUACAAUCUGGGGGAUCAUUUGUUAGAAUAUUUUAUUAUUUAAUAAUAUUCCAAUAUCAUUAUGUGGGCAAAUAUCGUAAUAAUAAUUAUAUUAGCUAUUUAUCAAUUGUGAGCCUUAAUUGAUUAGUGAUCAAAUUAAGUAAUAAGGCUAAUUAGAUUUCUAUUUUGGAUAAUUAAUUAUUUAAUUAGUUGAUAUGGACUCAACAUGAGUGGAUGUCCGGAUGGCCCAUUAACGGAAUAAUGGGAAACCCUAAUGGCCAUCCAAUAUAAAAGAGGCUAUGGUCCCCAAUACACCGUACACGGCAAUACUCUCUCUUCUCCCCAUCUGAAGAGAACUUGAGGCAUAAAGGUACCGGUUGAGGAAGAACCAAAUCAGCCACCGCUAACUCUAUUGUGUGUUUCAGAUCAUCUCCUCUCUUUGGUUAUAGUUGUUGAUGAGAGGGCUGCCUUGAAAGCUUUAUCCAGGUAUUCCUAAUACCCUAAUUCUUAAUACCCUUGAUAAAUCAAACAUGUCGUAGAUCCGAUCAUAAUCAGGUUCAAUGUUUUGUUUGCUUCCGCUAUUGAUUCACAAUUGUUGAACAUGUAUUAUGAAAUCUAUUUAUAUUAAGACCUAUAUUUCCAACAAGUGGUAUCAGAGCGGUCUUCAUGUUUGAUUUAUUAGGAUUAUUUUGUUUAAAAUCACAAAUUUUUCUUUGUUCUUCCAUCGCUUGAACCCUAAAUUUGGUUAAUUGGGGAUUUUUUUAUGUUUGCCUCGUUUCGGCAUGAAAACGUGAAAUAAUUUUUUUUUUUUAUUUGUUUUGAGAAUAACCGUAACAAGCAAACCAUGUCUUAUGUGUAUAGUUGCUUACUAAAGGACAACAAUUUUUUGUGGAUGAUUACUUUUACUUUAAUCAAUUUUUUUUUUAUGCGUGUUCCAAUCGGUUCUUGUUUGACCUUUAUUUCAAUUGAAUCGGUUUAAUCAAUUGAUUUCUUCUGGAUCCUCCUUGUUGCACGCUGGUGAUUCAUUAGGCAUGAAUUUUAUGAAAACAAAUAAUUUGAUUAAAUCUUGUGUCCAUGAAUAUAGAUAAUUUGGUUUGGCUUCUUUUCAAGAUAUCAAUAUUGCAUCCUUUGGGUUGUAUUUUUGUCCUUUUAGGAAUAUUCUUUUACUGUGAAUAUUUGGAUUUUGGAAGAAAUAUUCUUUCAGUAUGAAUAUUUAAAUUCAAGUGUAUGUAAUUUUGUGAGCUAUAUUUUUUCUUUUUGGAUAUGAAUUUGGUUUGCUGCAGCUUUCGAAAGCAAGAUACAUUGAUGAAAUUGAAUUCACAUACUUGAAAUUUUAGAAGUAAGUAUUUUGCAUAUUUCAAAUUUGUGAAAUCAAUUGUGUCUGCUCUUGACUUUAUUUGCAUUUGAUGAUUUGAUUCUAUAUUAAAUCUUUUGGUCAAAAUAAUUUUCCAAUAUUUUUUUUUUAUCAUAUCUUCCAGUUUAAUUUCUAUUUGAAAUUAGUAUUUAUUCACAAAGAUUUUGUACAUGGAGAUUAUUUUGAGAAAUAAGGCAAAUUAAAUUUUGUUAUAUAUAUUUGGUUGUUGUAUAUAUUUGUGGAAUAUGUAAGGAAUCUCAAAAUAUUAUGAAGAAACUUUUAGUACAUGAAGUAAAAAUUUUGAUUCUUUAAAGUUUGAGAAAUAAUAAUUUUAGUAUUGUUUGUUUAUUUAUAAACAUAAAGUAUAUUUCUUUAUUUAGGAAAUAAUUGAGUCUAGAGUUAUUCAUUAUUUUAUUUAAAGAAUCAUUUGGUAUAUGUGAAUCAAUUGUCGCAUGAAUAUUUUUUUUUUGUAUAUAUAAGAUUCAAUUUUUUUUUAUUUGAAAUUGAAUAUUUGGUUAUAGCAUGAUUAUCAUAUUAGAGUUUAUUGUUAUUAAGUUUUCUACAAUAAUAUUUUGUCUUAUCAUGCAUUUUGAAUAUAUUUCAUGCUAUGUUUGUUGCUGCUUUUAUGCGAUAUAUUUAAAUUCAUGAGUUUGUCUUCACACUUAAAGUAUUGUCAUACACACAUUGGUGUGAUUUGUGACUUUCAUCUUCUUUCAAAUUCGUGAAUUUGUCUUCACACUUAAGGGUUGUCAAGUGACCUUAUGGUUACUUAGCAACAUAAUGGACUAAUUCAGCCUACAUUAUGUCAGUAGUGCUUUGUAAAUUUAAGAUCAUUCCCAUUUAAUUUGUUGUGAAAUGUCUAGUAAUUGCGGUUGUUUUGGUUGAAGCAACAUGUUGCCAAAGUAACCUCUGUUGCGUAGAUUUGAUUCAACUGAACUUGCAAAAGACGUAGUAUGAAAUUAUCCAUGUGAGUUGUCGUCGGCCCCAAGGAAGGCACAACUUGACCGGAUAAUUACAUACAUAUGAUAGUAAAUGUAUGGUGAUUAUAUAGUAAUUAUCCAUGUGAAUAAUAGGAUACCUGAAUGUGACUAUUAUUUGACAGGAUUUAUCACCUCAUUUAAUAUAUAUUAAGAUUAUCUAGUAACUGCAGUUGAGUCGGUUGAAACAAUAAUGUUGCCCAAGUAACCUCUGUUGCGUAGAUUCGAUUCAACUGAAGUUACAAAAGAUGUAGUGUGUAAUUAUUUAUGCGAGUUGUCGUCGGCCCCAAGGAAGGCACAACUUGGCCGGAUAGUUACAUACCUGUGAUGGUAAAUAUGUGGUGAUUAUAACGUAAUUAUCCAUGUGGAUAAUAGGAUGUCCAAAGGUGACUAUUAUUUGACAGGACUUAUCACCAAUGUUUGAUCAUUACAUUGAGAGUACCGCUUGCAAUUAAUUCUUAGCAAUCCAAAGAUUGUGUUUUAAUGGUGCGCUUGGUAUCUUGUUAAGGUCUUUUAUUUACAAAUAAAGAAGCAUGUUUCUUUAAUAUUUUACUGACAUGUAUGUUGAUGUUGUGUUAGUGUAAACUUAUUUAAUUAUUUAAGAGUUUACAUCCACACCUAUGAUGGAAAACAAUUGACAAUUAUAAGAAUUUAUUCUUUGUCAAAGUAAAUUGUCAUUGUUUGAUCAUUGUUAUAAAAUACCACUAGCAAUUGAUAUUAUUUUUUAAAGACUUGAUAUUGAUGAUGCAUUAGGUAUUUUGGUGAGUGCUUUUGCUACUCUUGUUCUCUUUAAACUAAUAUAGUUUAUGUAUCUGCUAAUCUGAGUUGAAUUUUUAAACUCUUAAAAGUUCUAACUUUUAGGAAUUGAAGUAUAAUAUUAACAUUAUUCUUGGAUCUAGACCUUAGAUAAGGGUGGUGAAACUCACAUUCUCUCACAUAUUCAGCAUCUAAUUUGAGAAUCAAGUUUGACAAGUGAGUAUACACCAAAUCUCAUAGGUCAUAUGUGAUCAUAAAGUUAAAAUCUCAUAUGCAUUAGAGGUAUUGUUUAAGAUGACAAUUUUUGUCAUAUUUUCUUUGGUUAAACUAAGGUGCUUUUAAAGCAAUAUAGAGAAAGACAAACUCUCAUUGGAGAGAGUGUAUUUCAUUAAGAUUAUUUGGCAAAGAAAAUGUAAGAAGCACAUCAUGUAAAUAUUUAAUCUUGCUAAGACACUAUAAUUUCGACUAUCUAUGACUGGUUCGAAAAUUCAGUAAUUUCGACAAUCAUAUGACUUGUUCGAGAAUUCAGUAUUUUGUAUUAUCUUUGCACAGUUAAGUUUAUAACUGUUACAGUUAGAAAUGAUCGUUUAAAUGAUCAAUUCAUAAAGUGUGCAAAUAAGGAAAGGCUGAAGCAAGAGAAAAUAAAAUGGUGCUCAUUUGGAAAAUACCUCAUAAAAGAUAAGGGCAAAAGAAUGGUAGUCUUGACUGACUUAUGUCCAAUGAUGUUGAAAGAUACAUCAAUUAAGAAUGGACAAAGUCGAUAAAGAUUGCUUUAUUCAUUUUUUAAACCAAUUUUAGAUUGUCGUUACUAGUUUAUUUUUGUAUUUAAAAGACAUUUGGUGAAUCAUUAUUUGAAUGAAUUUUUGUUUUAAUUUCUCUUUGAAUAAAUCAAGAUGUUUUGAGUUUCAUUUGCAAAUAAUGAUUCAAUAUGUCUUUUAAAUUCAAUUAUAAGAGUCAAUUCAGUUAUGACUUGUGACAUUCUAUAUUGUUUAAGGUUUUGAAUACUAUAAGUUUUUCGUCCCACAAAUUAAGAAAUUUUUUUUUUUUGAGACAUAAAUUGUUAAGCUUUCUUGAGGAUAUUGAGUUUGGGGGAGAGAUAUGGUUUUUUAGAACAAAAUUGAAUGAGGAAGAAUUAGUUCUAAACUAAUUCAUAUAGUUACUAUUAGUAUAGUAUAUUUGGAUCCUCGUGAGGACAUUAUUGUUCUUUCUCUCAAUCAAGUUAAGAAAUUAAUUCAUAUAGAUCAAACUCAACACCCUCAAGAAAUAUGGCUUCUAGUGUCAUUAAGAAUUGACUGAAAAGAGAAGUUCUAUUUAGUUUAAUUGAAAGACUCUAUUAGGAAAGUCAUGAUACUAGUUUGCUGAUUAUAAUUUUGGAGCUGCAUAAGAUGGAUUAUAAUAUAGUGUUUCUUAAUGGUGACAUUAACGAUACAAUAUGGUGCAUGUGAAUAAAACUUUUGUGUCAAUUGAUACAAAGUAAAUGGUUUGCAAAGUCAUGAAAUCCACUUAUAAGUUAAGAAAUUUGUCUCUUUAGUGUUACCCAAAAAUUCUCAUAAAGUAAUUGUCUUAUUUGGUUUUGAGAUAAUAUUAUGGAGAAUUGUGGACUUAGCAAGUUCAGUGGGAGUAAUUUUAUAUUUCUAGUUUAAUAUGUCAAUUUUAUUUUAUUCAGUCAACGAUGAUAUAUGUUUGUUAUGUGAAACUAAGGAAAUCUCUAACAAAAGUUAGUGAUGUAAGAUCCUAGGGACACCUCUUUUGUAUUAGGCAUUUCAAUACUUAGAGAUUCUUCUCAAGGUAUUAUUCGGAUAUCACAAAAGAGUUAUAUCAAUAAAGUUGAAAAUGAAAUGACGUAAUUUUUGGAUGACCUCAAUCACCGAGAGAGACUUUUCAGUCUCAAAUAUUGCCCAUUAGAAAAUUUAUGAAUUCAUAAAUUUAAGUAUUUUCCUACACUUUGUCUAUAGGAUUUUUAUGUAUAAUAUUAUUAUACGCAUUUUGAAAUGGUGUAUAUAAUAAAAUUGUUUGGCAGAUAUUUUAGCAAUUCAAAGUUUGAAUUGUUUAAAAAGCAACCAUAAGGAUUAUUAAAGAGAACAAGAGAGCUUAUGCUCACAUCAGAAAUCUGACAAUUUGGAGAUCAUUUAUGUGUCAGACUUUGGCUUUUGGAUGUAAGUAGAUAAUACACAUCCUAACUCAAGAAAUGACUGUAAGUAUUUAUGUCACUUGGUUGCAUAUUGUUAAAGGUAUUGAAAGACCGAUCAAGUUAUAUAGUGACAUAAUUCAGUCGUAUAGUUGUUUAACAACAAAUUUCUAAAAAUUCAUUACCUUAUAGAUUAUUGUUGUUAAAUGAUAGAACAUGCAGAGACAAACUUUAUGCUAACUGAUCCACUAAUCAAAGACAUGACACAUAAGGUCUUUCAUAUGGUUGUUGUCAUUAAGGAUGUCUUGGAUUAGUGGGAGUCUCUUAGUUUAUGUUCUAUACUUUUAAUUUUUGGAAUUGAUACAGACUUUAUGUUAUGAUUUUCUGCAGAAAUAAAGUUCAUGAGGUUAUUUUUUGUUAUAACCAUUUCUGUAUCAUUUUGUGCAAAUAUUGAAUUUGCAUACUUCAGUUCGAUCUCACUAAAGUUUUAAGUUGGAUCAGUUGGAAAUAGACAUGAUUUAGAGAUCACAUUGCAUGAAAUUUCCAUGCCACUCAUCCAUAUCGAUCUAUGUCAUCAAGUGCAUUGAUAUGGUGGUCGUCGGGGUUCCGUCACGUUAUAUGUCAGUGACGACAGCCGCGGUGGUCCCAUUAUUAAUGUACGAGGUGGACUAGAUUGUAAAAGUUGAAAUCUAAAGAUAAAUAGCAUUCAGACGCGCGCCUAAAGAAUUAUGAUAUAAUUAUUAAGAUAUGUAGCCCAAGUAGGAGAUUGUUAGAAUAUUUUAUUAUUUAAUAAUAUUCCAAUAUCAUUAUGUGGGCAAAUAUCGUAAUAAUAAUUAUAUUAGCUAUUUAUCAAUUGUGAGCCUUAAUUGAUUAGUGAUCAAAUUAAGUAAUAAGGCUAAUUAGAUUUCUAUUUUGGAUAAUUAAUUAUUUAAUUAGUUGAUAUGGACUCAACAUGAGUGGAUGUCCGGAUGGCCCAUUAACGGAAUAAUGGGAAACCCUAAUGGCCAUCCAAUAUAAAAGAGGCUAUGGUCCCCAAUACACCGUACACGGCAAUACUCUCUCUUCUCCCCAUCUGAAGAGAACUUGAGGCAUAAAGGUACCGGUUGAGGAAGAACCAAAUCAGCCACCGCUAACUCUAUUGUGUGUUUCAGAUCAUCUCCUCUCUUUGGUUAUAGUUGUUGAUGAGAGGGCUGCCUUGAAAGCUUUAUCCAGGUAUUCCUAAUACCCUAAUUCUUAAUACCCUUGAUAAAUCAAACAUGUCGUAGAUCCGAUCAUAAUCAGGUUCAAUGUUUUGUUUGCUUCCGCUAUUGAUUCACAAUUGUUGAACAUGUAUUAUGAAAUCUAUUUAUAUUAAGACCUAUAUUUCCAACAUCAUUUUCCAUGAAAUCCUCAAUGGGUCCAUGGAGGAGCAUUGCGCCAUGAUGGAUCUUCCAAGAUGUGGUGGAGUCGGUGGUGGAAGACAUAGAUUCAAUGCCAUCAGGAAGGCCAACUUGUUGGGAGGGGAAUUCGAUGGUGUGAAAGCGAAGGAGGGAGGGAGCGGCGGAUGAGAGAGAUUUGGUAAGGGAUUGGACGUUGGAGGGAGUGGUGAUGACUGUGACGUGUUGGCCACGGGAUGCAAACAUAAUUGCUAUGUCAAAAAGAGGGAUCAUAUGUCCAGAUGCUAGAUAUGGAAUGAAGUGCAGUUUCAGUGGUUGUUCAACUUCUACACCUUCCAUUGCUGAACAAUAUAUUCUCUCUUUUCAAUUAACUAUUCACGUUUCUAUCCCUCCCUGAGUGUGUGAGUGCAUCUCUUUUCAAGUUCAACCAUAGUUUCGUUUUAUAGAAAUAUUUUACUUAUUACUUUUUUUUUAUUAUUGUUAUUAUUUUAUUCUAUCUGCACGAGACCCACGAGGCUUAGCUCCAGUUAUCAUCCCAUAUGAACAUUAUCUGCACCAUUAAUUUUGAAUGAGACGUGUGUUUAAGAGUGCUCUGUGGACCAUUAAAUUGAAGACCAUGUUUGGUAGAACAAAAAAAAAAAAACAAUAUUUUUUGAAGGAAAAAUAAUUAUUAUUACUGGCGGAAAAACGGACACUCCUCUUUCUAUUCAUUUUAUUGCACUAACGUAUGUAGACUAUCAACAAUAUUUUAUAAAAGAAUUAUAUAAAUUAAAAUUAUAAGUACAAAUAUAUGUGAUUUGACGGUGAUGCUAAAUGGUGUGAAAUCUUUUGGCACAAAUCACACCAAGCAUUUACGCACAACACGGUUACUUACAAAUCUAGAAUUUUUUUUUUUUUUUAUUCUGAUCAAAGUAUUAUAAUAAAUAUUAUUAUACCUAGCGAAAAGACGGGUAUUAAUGUGUUCGUCUUUCCGUUCUUUUUAUUGCACUAACAUUUGAAUAUCAGAUAUAAAUAUAUUCAUAUCAUGUUCGUAAAAAACCAUUCAUGAAAGCUCGUGAUUUUGUACGAACUAAAAAAGACAUGACUUUGAGUUUUAUCUUAUGUCUUAUAAGCUCGUUUGAAUAAAAAGGACCCGUUUAAUAAACGUCACUUUCUCACAAACUUAUAGCUUAUUCUUACUAUCUUAUAGUGUUGUUUGAUAAACUAAUUCAAGUAGCUUAUAACUUAAAUAUCAUUAUUUAUCUCAAUUUUACCCCUACAAAUUUAAAUGAAAAAACUAAUAUUAAAUCAAUAUAUCACUUUUAUGCCAUUUCAUAUUUAUAAUAUAGUCCAACUAUUAAUUUUACUAAAUAAUAUAAAUUCAAUCAACUAGCUUAUCCACUAUCAGCUAGAAGCUGAUUAUAGUGAAAACAUUCACUUCUGGAUUGUGUGUCUGAAUAUGAACACUUAUUUUGCAACCCUAACAAAAAAAAUAGUUAUAGCUUAUCCACAAAUUGUUGCGGCCAUUGUUCACAUUUUGCACACAAUCUGGAUGGCACACAACAUUCUAAGGUUCAAUUUUGAUAAAGCAAUGAUACAUACAACAGAGAUAAAAAUUGAUUAUUCUGUUACUAUGAGUGGUAACCUAUCUGCUAGGUGUUGUGUGUCUUCAUAUUCGCCUUUUUUAGAUUCUUUCUUGGUGCCUACCCAUCAUCUGAGAACCAAUGAGAUUACGCCUAUUUUUCGGAAGCCUCCAACUCCUCCUUUGCUGAAGGUUAACACAGAUGACUCGAUAAUUAGAGCUCACGCCUCUUGUGGGGGUAUAUUUUGAGAUCAUUUAGGAACGUUCCUUGAUGCUUUUACUUGUAACCUUUGCACUUGCUCAAUUUUUAAUGCCGAAAUUCUAGGUUAUCUGGGCUUUGGAGUAUGCAGCUCAAAAUUGGUGGUGAAAUAUUAUGUUUAAGAGUGAUUCAACUAGUGCCUUAUUAAUUUUUAAAAAUUCUUCUCUAGUGUCGAUCUCCUAUCGGAAUCGGUGGCAUUAUGCUAUUCGACUUGGAGUUCAGAUUAUGUCAUCCCAUAUUUUAUGCGAAGGCAAUUGUUGUGCUUAUAAGCUUGCGAAUAUGGGGCACUUGGUUCGGGGAUCAGUUUCGUUGAAUGAUUGUCCUAGAGACUUUGGAUGGAUUUCUUUAUAGACAAAUUUAGUUUGCCUAAUUUUAGAUUCCCUUAUAUUCUUUUCUUCUUUUCCUCUUAUCUUGUUUGUUGAGGGUUUUAGCUUGGUCCCCCUAUUUUGUGUGUGUGUGUGAUUGGGGGGUGACAACCUGGUUAGGAUGUCGGGGAUUCUCUUUGAUGCAUGCUCUUUCUCUUGGCUUAUAAUUUUUUUUUUUAGCGUUGAGCACCAACGUUUUCAAUUCUUUUUAUUUUGGAUUUCUUCAAUACACAAUUCCAUGAUAAAAAAAAAAAAAAAAGGCCCAAUUCUUCGUAAAAAAAUAAAGAAAUGCUCUCGUUAAAAGUUGAAUUCAAGACCUCCCGCUUACUAAACAAGUGCUCUAACCAACUGAGCUACAAGAGCUUCUUGGCAACAUUUCCAUUACAAACAUAUAGAUUUUAAUCAAACAACGAAUGAGUGGGAGGUCACAUUUCUCAUAUAGAGCUUCUUGUUCACCCUUACGCGUAUAUUGUCAUCAAUCGCCUUAAAAUGAAAGAGUAUACGGUCAUGAUUUCUCAUAAUUUUAGACAUGCAAGCUAGCUUGUUGACUAGAUUGCGGGUUAUGCUAUCUCUUUACUUACGAGUCCUCGUUUUCUUUGCCAUCCUCCAUGUACUUUUGUUAACCUUUUAUGGAAAGAUGUUGCCAACAAUUAUUUUAGUCGUCACGUUCAUGUCUAAUUCGGUCUAAGGACCCUCCUAUUAGGGAAAAAAUUAUUUUCUCUGUCAACUUUAUCAUUACUCACACUUAAAGUUAAAGUCUUUGAUUCAUGUAUUAUCUAUUUGUUUGAUAGGAAUUGUUGCUGAUAUUGACGAAAUUUCAACUUGUCAAAAUGGAUCUAUCAACAUAUUGUCAAUUUUUUUAAGAUGUCACGUGAAAAUAAAAGCAUGGACAUAAGAUAUGACUUCCAAGCCACAUUUAUAUAAAACAUCAUGCUUCAACGCACUUCAUGUAAUUUCAUUAUAUUCAUUAUAAUAAUAUUUUGUUAUACUCAUAAUAUGAUUAUGAGUAUAAAUUUAUUAUUAUAAUGAAAUUACAUGAAAUGUUAACGCAGAUGUUGGGGAAAAUGGAUCUUUUAAGUAGAUAUUAUUUGAAGACUUCAAUUUAAUGCAAUACCAACCAUUUAGCUAUUAUGGGGGAGUGUUUGGUAUGGUAUUUUGAACCGGUCAGAUACUUCAAGUACAUUGCAAAUAACGUCGUUCUUCGUGCUCAACAACUAAGUUAACUUUUUCCACUUUAAAAGAAUUUAAGUGAUUGUUUUCGAGCCAUUUCACUGGCUUGUGUUUGGAUUAUCUGAUCUGAUCGUAAUAACAUAUUAUUUGGUCGCAAGGAAAUGUCAUCAUCUCAAACUAUUGAUCAAGUAAAAAAAUCCAUGUUUGAUGGUGGAUUUAGGCCAAACACCACUUGUUUUCUUAUUGUCUUAAUCUUUGAUGAAUUAAUCCUCUUAAUUGUUUUUACUUAUUAGCUUCUUGAUAUUCUUUGAUUGGUUCUACAUUUGUUUAAACUUUUUUUUUAUUUCAUAUUCUUUGUACUUGUGUUAAACUAGUCUUUUAAUAUAGAGUAGUGAUAUUUGUAUACCUUUUCUAAACAACUUCCAUGACAACUUUGUUUUUCUCUAUUUUGAUUGGUCAAAAUUAAUAGAGAGAGAAAAAUGUAAAGAGAUAAUAAAAAUGUAAUGUGAGUAUGAGAGAGAAAGUUGUUAAAAAAUUGUUAGAAAUUGGUUGUACAAAUAUCAUUUCUCUUUAAUAUAUUCAUUCGACUUUUCACAACACACAAAAAAAAAAAAAAAAAAAAAAGAAGAAGAAGAAUAGGUGUGGAAAUGAACACUUAUUUUGCAACCCUAACAAAAAAAAACAGUUGCACAAAGGUAAGGGAAAAUUCGUUCGUGAUACUUCUAUCAACUAAAUGCCUAAGUUCUUCCAAACUAUAAAUGCUACAUAUUUUAUGCUCAUAUAAAUUCUUUUGUUAAUCUCAUGUUAUUAUUAGAUUAUUUCUUAAAGUAAUAAAAACUAUCAUCUUCAAACACACUAUUUUCGCAUUUUAGGAAUUAUUAUUUUUUAUAUAUUUAUUAGUUAGAGCUUAAAUUAUAGGUUCUUCCAUAGACCAUCAAAAUCUCAUCUCAAAAAAUUCUUACGUGAACUUUCAUCUAACACGUCAUUCUUACACCCAGUCAAUUAAAAUCUUACACCUCAUUAAAAUAAUUUACUUUUUGCUACACCUCAUUAAAAUAAUUCUUACUCCAACAAUCAUAAGUUUUUGCUUUGAAUUUACUUUUUCCUUAAUUUUUUACUUACAAAUUGUGAAACAUAGUUCACUUUAUGUUUCAAUUUCCUCCAUCGGGUUAGAAAUCCAAUGAUUAAGCGAUAGACAAAUUGAAAAUCAAUAUCGAUAGUGGCUCUUGGAACUGAGAGAGAGAUGAAACGAGGCGGUUAAAGCUCCCAUUUCUGUAUCCAUUUUCUUAAUUAAAAUCACACUUAUUUUUAAAAGUUAAUAAUAUAUGUCAUAUUUUUAUUGGUUUAGUGUAAGAAUUAUGUGUUGGAUGAGAAUUCACGUAAGAAUUUUUCAUCUCAUAAAUGGUUAUGUAUAUAUUUUUUUUUUUUUGGUGGUGAAACGGUUAUGUAUAUAAUAUAACUAAACAAUUUAACUUGGUUAAUGAACUUCAUCAAAAGAUAAAUUAUUCAGAAAAACAUGAAUUCAAUUCCUUGAUAAAAUACUAGACUUUAUCUCUGUUGAACUCUCCCUUUCCCAUAAGAGAUUCAGAGGGAUAAAAAUAAAUAAAUAAAUAAAUAAAAUACUACAUUUGGAUCAGGUAUUAGAAUUUUGAAGUAUAUAUCCAUUUGUUCUUUCAGCUUCAAUCCAACAUUCUUACAAACUAUAGAUUUUUGUUGGACCAAAUUACUACGAACUACAAGUGAAUUGUUGGCGUCAAUAAACUAAGAGAAAAAAAAAAGGGAAAAUAUUUAUUUUUGUCUUGGGUUCUUCAAAGCCAAUCUUCAGAAGAAGGAAAAAAAAAGACAAAAAUACAGAAAAUGCUCUCGUUGAGAGUUGAACUCAAGACCUCCCGCUUACUAAACGGGUGCUCUAACCAACUGAGCUACGAGAGCUGGUUGGUAGCAUUUUCCAACCAAUCAAUUUAACCUUUCUUUUUAAUAAAGCAGAAUGAUAACCGCGUGCGAAAAUGAGUGACCGAAAAGGUAAGUUAACAAACAAAGGACAUUUUCGUCAUUAUAAAAAACCACCCACAUGUCUCAUUUCUUUCUCAAUACAAAAAAAAACUUCACAAAAAACAACACAUUCAGACACACACACAAACACACACACACACAUACACAGUGUUAUCUUCAACACUCUCUCUAUCUUCAAUUUAGGGUUCCGAAUUUUCCACCAAAAACAUGGACUCUGAUUCAUGGAUCUCUUCUCGUCUCUCUAACUCUUCACGCCGUUACUAUUCUCGAUCCGGUUAGAACCAUCAUAAUUAUUUAAUUCCAAUUUUGAUUAUUUUUUUUUGUUGAAAUUGUUGGUGAUGAUUUGUUGAUUUGUUUUUGGUGUUGUUUCAGAUCUGUUUCUAGGUGGAAAUGAUGAUGCUGAACCUGGCGGUGGUGAUGAUUUAAGGGCUGAAUAUCUUUGCCCUUUUUGUGCUGAAGAUUAUGAUGUUGUUUCUCUUUGUUGUCACAUUGAUGAAGAACAUCCUCUUCAAGCUAACACUGGGGUGGGUAUUCAUAAAAACUCUUUCUUUAUUUAUUUUUUUGUCUUUUUUUUAUAUUUGUCUAUGAUAAAAAUUGUAUUUUUAAGGUUUGACACUUUUCUCUGGGACAAAAUUAUGUAGUGUAUGUAGUUUAGUUUGUUUAUUAUAUGUAUGUAUGAAUAUUCCUCAAAUACCAUUUUGCAUAAAGAUGUGUUAAAUUUUGGUUUUUUACUUUCAAACACUUGAUAUUAUUAAUUAAGGGUAUACAUGGAAAAAAUAUAAAUAGAUGCAUUUAGUAAUUCAAAAUGAAGCUUAUGUUCAGGGACAAUUUUUUUGAAAAAUAAAAUGUGCUUAUAUUUUGGAACAAUUUAUUUUGAAAUGUGGUUAUAUUUUAGGGGAAAAAGGCUUGGUAUUCAGUGACUUUGGAGACAAGUCACUGUAACUUCAGUGGAAUUUUGUGUUUUAUGAAAGAGAAAUCAUAGAUAAGAUGAAAGAGAGCAGUAUAAGAGAGAGAUAGACACGAUGUCAUGUUGACUUUCCCACCUUAAAAGUAGCGAAUCCGGAUAUGGGAAAGUUAGUAUGAGUUUGCGUUGAGAGGUCUUUUUAUUCCAUAAAUUUGAUAGGUUGUUUGGUUAGUUCGUCUUUUAUCUAAAGAUUUAGUCUUUAUAGAUAUACAGGCUCUUCUUCUCGGAGUUGUUGUUCUGUGCAGAAAAGAUAUUUAUUUUUUCUGUUCUACCAAUUCUUGUUUGGUGUUCAAAAUGAUGCGUGUUUUGUUUCUGCUUAUUAGUUUGAAUGAGGCGUGUUUUAAUUAAUCUUUGUCCAUUAUCAUGGUAGGUGUUUCUUUGUUUUUGGUGUUUAUAUGCUGAUGAUGGUGAUAAUUGAUGGCAUUGGUUAUACUUUUCAGGUGUGUCCUGCUUGUGGGCAAAAGGUGGGAAUGGAUCUUGUUGCACAUAUUACCACGCAACAUGCAAAGUUUUUCAAAAUAUCCUUUUUCAAAGUUGGUUUCUUUGUUCUUGUUUUUAUUUCACUUUUAGUUUGAUUGUUGCUCAUUUUUGUUGCUGCACCAUUCAUAUAUGUUUUUGGGGGUAAGAAUUAAAUAUGUAAAUUUUUUAACAAUUGAUAUGCAAGUUUGUUGGAAAUUUAAAUUUUCCAUCUUCAUAUUUUAUUGCAUUCCUGGAAAACAAAUUUUAUUUGAAGCGUUGAAGUGUCAUGCCGAAAAAUGUGUACAUUUAUGAUUGGUUUUGCUUCUUAGAAAUGAUGUAUUUAAACUAUCAAUCAGAAAACCAGUAUGUUUAUAUUUAUCAUGUGUUUUCUUUUAUUUGUCUCUUAAAUGUGCUUCAUUUGAGGUUGUGUUUAGUUAUUUAUUUUAGUAUCGUUAGAUGGUAUUUUCUUUGUGCUGUCUCUGUUGUUCUAUCCAUUUAAUUUAAAUAAAACAAGUUGUGUCCGGUGAGUACAUCUUAAUUUGGAUUGCUUUGAGACAAAAGUUUUUCCAUAACCAGAAGUUUACGUUCAGCGGAAAAGGAGGGUGAGAAAAGGAGUCACUAACUCAACAUUAUUUAGAAAAGAGUUGAGGGAAGCAGGAUUGCAUUCUCUUCUUGGAGGUUCUUCAUCCACAGCUUCCUCAAAUUCCGAACCCGAUACUUUGUUGCAAUCGUUUAUUUUUAACCCAGUUGUAGGUGACGAAGCUUUGAGCGAACAAUCUAGUUCUUCCAUUGAAGCUGCCAUAGUAAAAGAUAGCUCGAAAGAUGAUUUCGUGGAAAGGUAUGUAUGUGGAUAUUAUUGUUGGAUUAAGAUUUCCUUUGCUUUAGAAAUGGAUGCUAAGUUAUAGGUGUUUUUGUAGGGUAUAAUAACUUUUAUCAUGUCGUAAUAUUAUAUUUUAAAAUCUAUUGAACAUUUUGACAAGACACUGAAACAUGAUAAUAUAUUAUUUACACCAUCGGUAUAUAGAUUACUUAACUCUUCUAUAUAAAUGUAUAGUACUGGAUGCAUGUGCCCGCUAUUUACUCUGCAUAUACGUGAUUAUAUUUGUGGACACUUUGUUUGAAAUAACUAAAUGAUGAAAUGUUGUAUUCUUAGGAGUAAUGUCUUGUUUUCAUGUGACUUGAACUGUAAUUGAUCAUUUAUUUUUGAGCAUCUUAUCACACAGCUUCAAAGUAUUUUCUUUUAAUGAUAGUAUUUGGUAUUUAGUCCAAAACAUGUAGUCUGACAGUAGCUAUGGUUACAGAAAACCACAAGUACAGCUGUCAGAUGAGGAUCGAGUAGAGAAGACCCGAAGGUUUGAUUUCGUGCAAGGGCUGCUGAUGUCUACAAUUCUUGAUGAUGAGUUAUGACUGCAAUUGUAGCUGGUAUACUAUAAUAGGAGCAGGAGCUGAUCGCGAGGGAGGGAGUUCAUUCGAGUGUUACAGAGUGGCAGUAGCUAGAUCGGAUAAAUAUGUAAUGAAUGUAUUUAUAGUUAUGUUCAUAGAAUGCAGAGAUGAAGAAACCUUUAUCGAGUAAAUAUGUAAUGAAUGUAUCUAUUGUUAGGUCCAUCUAAUAUGCACCUAUUCAAAUAUGGGCCCUUAUUUCAGCUGCUACACUAGACUGACAUAAUUGGCUAACAUAAAAAAGACUCUGGUCCCUAAAAGCAGUGCAUGCACCUGGUUUGGUCCCUAAUAAAAUUUAUUCUAACCCAACUGUGGACUCAUUCUUAACACCAUAACCAUUUUUUUCCCCUUUAUAUCUCCUCAUUCAAGCAAUCCUAUGUUUGUCUGAAUAAAUGGCUGUAACGCUGCGUUCGAAGUGUCAAUCUAGAUUCACCUCCAUAUACUUUACCUAUCAACGAUUGUUAAUACCCAAACAAAGUUAAAGUUAACUGUUAAAUGUUAAUGAUGUAGAAUUUAUAUCGUAUUUUUUCAACAAAAAAAAUAAAAAUAAGAGCGAUUUAUUUAAAUAGUAAACUUUUAUCUUGUAAGUAUAGUUCAUAUAGUAACUGUCAGGACAUUUGAUAUGGUGUGACAUGGAUUCAAAGUUGUAAUUCUCCACCUCUUAACAUUUAGUUCAUGUUUGUCAACAAAAGAAAAAAAAAUUAGCACAUUUGAUUUCAUUAUUAGAUGGAGAAGAAAAAGAAAAUGACUUUAAUAAGAAAUGAUUUUCUCAUUUUAAUUUCUCUUAUGUUCCCUCUCAUUUUGUUACAUUUUCAUGGCCAAGAUUAAACUCAACCAUGUUGAUUUGCAUCAAAAAGUAAUCUUUAAACUAUCUCAUGUCUUUUAUUGCUUAAGGCAUUCCAGGUAUACCUGAAGAGAUUCUUUCAAAAAUCCUAAGACUACAAACCAAUAUGACUCCAUCUUCAAACUAUAAUAUAGAAUCAUUCCCUUGCAAUAUCUUAAUAUUUUAGACACAGAUUUUAACAACUUGUCACUUUCCAUUCCAAUCAAAGGAAAACCGGUUACUAUGUUUUUUUUUGGUUACCAUGUAUUAUAGGUCGCAAAAUAGAAAAAUCAGAUGUCCAAAUAAUAAUUUAAUAUCCCAUUAAUUUAGCCUAUCAAGAAUAAACCAGUAAUACUGGAAUUCUGUAGGAUAAUUACAUCUCACAAUAAGGAUGUGAAAACUGAGGAUUAUAAUGUACGUCAUCAUCUAUACAAAACUAGGCAUAAAGUGCCAUGAAAAAUAUACAUUUUCAAGAGACAAUUUGACCUUUUUCUACAGAAAAGCAAAAACUUGGUUAAAGGCCUUGCAUCCCACUGAAAACUGAAGAACAAACCCUUUUUAUCUGAUUUUAUGAUAACACUUAAAAGUGAUCCUUGCAAAGAAAAUAACGGUAUACAAGGUGAGACAUCAUAAGCUGGAACUUGGCUGCUUCAGCUUAUUUAUUAGAGAAAACUCUGCUCAUCUACAAUAUGAAUAGUUGGUACUAAAGAAUUUGUAAUCAGGAUGGUUAACUUGCAAUUGCCUAAUCCAGUUGUCAGCAGCUCGCCUCAGAGAAUUGGCUUUCUGAUCUUCAGAAUCCCCUUCAGGGUCCCAGACAGAAAUUUUGAACUUGGUAAAAGCAAGGCCAAAUAUUGGUAGAGAUAGCUUGGAUGAUAUGUCCUUAUCUUUUCUUGAACAAUUUAUCGUAGUUGGACCUGAUUCAAAUAACACGGUUAUCAUUGGCAUCCUUACAUAUACUUGUCUGUUAUUAUGGAUAGAAAAAAAAGGACAGCAAGACAUACUUUGUAAAGGUGUUGACAGGGAAUGGAAGGUUAGGAAACAUGCGCCCAAAUCCUGCAGUGUGGGACCGACAGGUAUUCUAUAUAUUGGAUACCUACAUAAUAUAAGAAGGAACAAAUAAUGUUAAAUUAGUUAUUAUUAUCAUGUGCCAGUAUUGUCAAAUAGCGAAUAUAAUGGCGCUAUAGCGCCGCGGAAUUCUACUGAACCACUACUAUUCCGCAAUACGCAAUUUAGUACAAAGUUUUGACAGAUAGUGGUAUAAUAGUGCUAUAGCACUGUAUCGUAGCGAAAUUUGAAAAAAACACAAUUUUCUGCAAUCCACGAUUGAAAACACUGUCAUGUGCACUAUCCAACAUUAACAACGUCCUAAUUAAAAGUAUAUGAUAAACAUACCAAGCUAAUGAAACCCAACUUGAAGAUGAAAGAUCACAGCUCCGGUAGGUCUUCAAAUCAGGAAAUUGCUUAGCAAGAUCAUGAAUCUAAGGCAAAAAUCAUAAAUCUUCGUCAUGAUUAGAAAGCAACAUAAUCUAAAAGUGGAACUGAACCAAAGGACAAUGUUCUUACCUUAUCCACUAAUGGUUCACGAUUAUAAGGUGAUUCAUGCUCAAAGUAUUCGUAUACAAGCUGACCAAGUGCACUGCAGCUUCCAUUCUCAUCACUUGAUGAACCUGUGAAAGGUUUACUUGCAAGUGAAAGUCUUUCCAGACCAAGGUUGCUUGCAUCUGAUAAGUUAGGAAGGUUUGAACUGCCAUUAACUACACUUUUAGAUCCUCUUUCAUGAUGAUAGCCACUGCUGCUGUCGCUGCUCGUGUCUCUAGCUGAUUCAGAGUCACUCUCCUUACUGGGUUUCCUGUAAUAACAUGGAAAAGUUAAUGAAUCUGUUGUGUAGAUGCACUAAAAGAGUUCAUGGAAAAGGCUUGGAUAUAGGUGUCUAUCAGUUAAAAUUGGAUAAAAACAGACGAGGGAAAUGAUAGAGUACUGCAUGGUACAUAUUACUAGCAUGUAUAUGAUUUGGUUUUCAUUAUAAAGUUAUGGGUUAAACAUGUAUCCUACUAAGUGUCAUUUAGAGUUUGCAAGCAAUAUCAAGUCUAUGAGCAAUAGGACAAACUAGAUUCAGAAAAACUUCUGGUGGCUGGUGACCAUCUUACUAACAGUUAGUGUGAUCUACAAGUUAUAUCAGCAAUCUGCAGUUCUGUAAACAUUAUAGAUGAUUUGUUGAAUUUAAAUUUUAUGUAUUGCAAGUGUAAACAAACUUCACACAUUCAUCCAGACAUGUUGUAAUACAUCAUUAGAUGAACUAGUUUUACAUGGAUAGUACGUCAAAACUAAACUCUAAUUAGUGUAUAGGCCAUCCGGUCUUGCAAGUUAGAGGAUCAAUUAUCCGAGUAUGUGUACAGCUGACGAUGGAUCAGUAACAGACAGCAUCAGAAGUAACAAUCACUCUUUUUUAUUCACAUGACUUGGGUAGGCAACAAUCUAUAAUCUAGUAAUAUAAUACUAAGUUUAAAUCAGAGGAAAAUCUUCUAGUCUGCAAUUCUGAAUCACAUUACUAAUAAAAUCAUCAAUGAAAUGGCCUAAAAGAUCUUACUUCUAAGCUACGUAGAACCGAAACUUCAGAUAAUGUUUGACAUGUGUUGAUAUCGGACACAUGUCGUGUCGGUGUCCAAGACACUGAUACAACACCGACAAAUGUGGUUAUAUUCAUUUACUUUCAAUUUCUCGAAUUAUUACCAGUGUCUCUGUUAGGGGCAGAGCUAGGAUCUAAUAGUAGUUUGGGCAAUGACCAAUCAACUUAACAUGAAUUGAAGACCUAUCACAUAAAUCAGUGUGCUGGUCUACAUGUGCUCUCGUUAUUGUGUUUUUAUGAUUUGUUGAAUAGACACAGGAAAGCAAAGCAGUUGAUCACCCCAUCUGUACUAAUUAUUGCAUAUGACAUUUACAACAACAACCAAGUCUUAUCCCACUAAGUGGAGUCGACUCAAUAGAUCAAAUUAUGCCAUAAUGUAUUAUCAUAAACCAUAUUCCGAUCCAACUCAUUAAUCUCUAUUAUCUUUCUUAAUAUAGUUUUUCUAGGUCUUCCUUUGCCUCUAGUGAUCUGACUAUACUCUACAUGGUCUACUCUCCUUACUACAGAAUCUGUAGGUCUUCUCUCUACAUGUGCACACCACCUAAGCGUAGUUUCCAUCAUGUUUGAAAAAUUAUUCAAAAAAUUUGGCAGGGGCUCCCCUGUAAGUCUAUUACCAUACACCUACAUCCGCCCCUAGUCUAUGUUAGUAUCAGUGUCGUAUCUCAUGUCCGUGUCUAAGUACUUCAUAGCUUCUGAGAUCCUUCUUCUAAAUGCUUUUAGUUUAUACUAGUAGCAAAGAACUACCUCAAAACCUAUUUAAGGCAAAAGAACAUACAACUUUCCAGCAAGUUGAAAAAGGCAAAAAAGAGAGAAAAAAAGUGAGGAAAAAACAAGCUUCAUAAACUAUUAUAGGGAAUAAUCUAAAUCAACGACAAAUCAUCAACAUAAAAAAUGUUUGGCCUGUCAUUGAAAAUAAACAAACAUUCAUCUGGUCCCAAAGCAACCAUGAAGUAUAUUUCGAAUUUUCGAAUGUUAACCCCAAAUGUAGCAAGAACAAUACAUCAAAAUGUUCAAAUGAAAGGAAUUAAAUCAAUCACUGGAAAAGCAAAUCAAGAACAGUUAUUUUCAUACUGAAGAAAGCGCUAACCUUAACCGCAGGGAAGGCUUUGAUGGAUCAAUAUAUAGCUGAAUAGCAGACAAAGAGACAUUGUAAUACUGUUUAACAGAUUCAUUCCCACUCAAUACCAAUGGAACACCAGCUCCAUAUACACUCCACUCCUUGAAAGAUUCCCACAAGUCCCCAAGCACAAAGUAUGGUUGCAGUUCUGGCUCCACUGUUUUCCAUCUUCUCUUACUUUUCUGUUUGUUCACACAUAAAUAAGCCAAACAAUUCUCUUUGAAAUUAAACCAAAAAAACCUAACACCACCUUAAAAUAGUCAAAAACAACCACAAUACACCAUUUCUUUGCAUUAUUAACACAAUUCAGUGGAUUGUUGCAAAGUAAGUUUCAUCCUAAUAACAUUAUUUAUUUGGUUCUAAAGAGCCUAGCGGUGAAACUCAAACACACAAAGUACUGAGAAGCGAGAAAUUGUAGGUUUGAACAUGUGCCCUAACAUAUCAAAUGUCUUUGCAACCUUUUACCAUCUGAGUUAUACUUACAAAAUAGUUUUAUCCUAAUAACAAAUUAAAUACUUGAACACAUUAAUUCAUAAACAACCACAUUACACAAUCUAUUCCCACUGUUAACUCAAUUGAAAGGAUAUUACCAAAGUAAGUAUAAUCCUAAUAAUCAAUCGAACACUUGAUCACAUUAAUUCAUAAACCUAACUUCUCUCAUUAAGUAGUUCGGUCGGUGAACUAAGAGACAUUGAACAUUGAAACAAUUUAAAAAUCAUGAAAACUGACAUAACCACUACCUUACUAACAUAACAUUUCUGUAUAAACUUUUUUUUCCAUAAACCGAACACAAAGUUUGAACCCUAAAAACCAACAUAACAAAUAACUUACUAUGCCUAUGUUUGGUUCCAUGUUUGAAGUAGAAUUGAUUCUAAUCUGAAUGUCUUUUGAAUCUAAAAGUGAUUUUUACACUUAAAUUUAUUGUUCAAAUCACUUUACAUUCAAUUCACUUAUAAGUAAAAUCAAUUUAACAAAAUCAAUUCGUUUCAAAAUCAAUUUUUACUAAAAACUAUCAAAAUCGCUAAUUUACUAUCAAAAUUCAUGAACAAAAACACAAUAGUUUGAAUCCUAAAAAUUAUCAAAAUCACUAAUUUACUAACAUUUGUCAAAACAAUUCAUAAACCCAACAUGAAUUUGAUUCAAAUUCCAAACAUUUAACAGAAAAUUAACAAAAAUCGAACUCAUAAAAUAAAUAAUUAUUAAAUAAAAUUGAAAAGCAUUGUUUUACUUUACCAAUGGAAAACUAUGAGCGGGAACAUGCGGCGUGGUAUGCUCAAGAAACCGACACAAAUUAGAAGCAGCAUCAACGGUUGUUUCAAUCGAAGUGGAAGAAACAGAGUUAUCAGAAGAGGAACAAGGUGUGUUAUUGUUUUCAAUUAACGUUAAUUCAUGUUCCUCUUGUUGUUCCUGUUCCUGUUGUUGUUGUUGUCUCUGUUUCCGUAGCGCCGGUGGGCAGUAGAAACGAUUCUCGACGUGAUGGCGGGUGUUACGACGGCCGACGAUGACGGCGCCACCAGAGACCGACAUUGUGUUUCCGGCGAUGAUGAAACGACGACGUUGAGAUGUAUGUAAAGGUAGGUCAAGAGUUUUGAUUGAGUCCAAACAAAACAAUAAACAAAGUUUUGUGACUCUGUGUGUGUAAGUGUUAGUUAAGUGAAAAUUGUGAACUGUGAAACACAUGGGUUUUAACUUUUUUUUUUUUUUUUUUAAUUUAUUUUAGUCAAAAAUAUAAAGUAUUUUAAUUUAUUUACACUCAAAAAUUAUAAACUUUUAAUUUAGUUGCAGUCAAAAAAUAAAAAUCAUUUUUUUUAAGGAAAAAAAAAAAACUUUCCCUUCUACGGUAGUUGAUUUAUUGAGAAGUAGUACAUACUUCUAGAAUGAUAUGUAUUCCGUCCCCACGCCUAAGCACUCUUUUUGACUAAGAAUUUGUCUUUAAUAUAAAGUUUUUUCAAAAAAUUACAUGCAUUUUUGUAAAAUAUAUCCCUAAUUAAUACUACUAAUUUAUUUUAAAAUAUGAAAAAUCAAAUUUAAUAUGCAUACAAAUAAAGGACAAUCUAGUAAUAUUAACACAUAAAAUAAACAUAUUAAUUGCACUAACAAUUUUUCUUAAAAAAUGUGAAAAAUGCAAAAUGUGUUUGCAUAUACAGGGACAAAGGAGUACUCUCUCCGUUUCUAGUUAUAAGUAAAAUUGACUUUUUAGAUUCAUUUAAUUAAUGUUGUAUGUAAUUCAUAUUAUGGACCACAUAUACUAUUAAUUUAAUAAAUCUAAAAAAAUCAAUUUCUUAUAAUUAGAAACUAGAAACUGAGGGAGUAAUAAGGAAGGAAAGGUAGGACACUAGAAGUGUCUAGAAAUAGGAUGGGUUACUCAAAGUAGGUCCAUAAGUUACUCAAAUAUUUUUCACUUAAUAUCGUACUAUUAUUAAACUUCAGAUAUAUAUUUUUCGUAUUUAUUUAUUCUUUUGUUGUGGGAGGGAGAGAAUUUUAUUAGUAAUAGUGUACUAAUAAUCAAAUUAUAAUUGUCUUGAAUGAGAUUCAAACUCUAUUUAUAAUAGUAUCAAACUCUAAUCAUUGAGCUGAUAUCUUUUUGACAAAAAGAAAAACACAAUGAAUCGAAAGAGCCUAAAAAUUACACAUAGUAUAUACGAGGUUUUAUUUGGGUGACAUAAAUGUAUUUUGGAUAAGAGAGAAUGAUGAAUGAAUGAUUAAAAUAAUUUAUUUAAAUGAGAGAGACUGAUUGAUUAAGAGAGAAAUAUGAACAAUGUCACCAAUAUCACCUAAAAACCAAUGUCAUCCAACUGCAAUCCAUAGAAUAUGAAACCUAGUUGGAAAAUAACCAAUUAGACAUCAUUCACUUUGUUUGUAUGUAUCCUUAAUGAUUAGGACCGAAUGACUUAACGCACGAAUUAAAAUUAAAUGCAAAAUAUAUUUUCUUUUUUAAGUUCAAAGGUUUCAUCAGGAUACAUAUAGUGUGGCAUUCUAGCAACACAUGAAUUCCAUCUUCAUAAUUAGCACUAGAAACAACACAAUUAGUUUGACACGAUACAUAUGUUGUGGGAAAGUAACCACGACAAACUCGCCACACCAAAUUCUUAAUCUUUGGUGGAACUUUGAGUUUCCAAAUUAAAUUGUAUCUCCCAAGUCUACGUAAAUGAGAGUUACCAACAAUAUUAUCCACACACGCGUUGUCGCACUGCAUACAAAAUAUUUACCAUUCUUCUCUGUCUUCCAUAAUAACUAAUACUUACCAUUUUUGUACCUUCUCUUUUAUUGACUAAAAUUUAUAUGAAGCCAUCAAAUUAUGAGGUUCAUAUAAAUUUGCAUGACACAUGCUAGUUAAUAAAAAAAAUUAUUAUAAAAUGUACAUGUUGCGAUACAAACAUACUAUUUUAAUUUUCUUAAUAUGCGUAAGUUUGUACAUGAUAAAAAAAUUCUUAUACUAAAUGUGUUUUUUUGUUGAUGAAAGCGAAAAGUGUGUUUUAAAUAGCAUUAUUCAUGGUAGUAAUUUUUACACGAGAGAGAUUAAAAUUUAAUUUGUCAUCAUUUAAAAGCAAAGAAAAUUACAUAACAAGUUUAUAUUGGUAAACUUAAAUAGGGGUAAUAGUCAUUUUAAUCCUGAAUGUGUAAUGAGUAGUCAGUAAAAUCCUUCAAUAUAUCAACAUUUUAAAACAGUCUCUAAUUAUGCCAUUCGUUAGUUAAAAAUAGUCCCAGUAAAAUAUUUUUUUGUACUGAGAUAUUAUUUUAGCUUCAAAACUAUUUUGACUAAUAAAAUGCACAAUCAAAAACUAUUUUAAAAUUUUGAUAUAUUCAAAGAUUAUUGUUACUAUUCAUUACAUAUUUAAAGAUUAAAAUGAUUAUUACCACUUCUAUACUACUGCAGUACUACUAAGAAAUUAGGUGAUAGGAUCCAUUCUCUAUAGCAAAUAGUACUGUCAGUAAAAAGUAGUAGAAGAGAAUUAAAGUUCACUCACCAGCUUGAUUGAAUUUUGAACCCCAUAAAGCUUGAAGAUUUGACUUGUCUCGAAGUUUCUAGAUAUUACGAGGCUUGUUUGAUUGAGUUUUGUUUACUUUUAAAAACUCUUUUGACCCUUAACUAUUUAAUUGGUAUCGCUUUGGUCCCUUAAUUAAAAAAAAAAAUUGUUUGAGGAUUUUAAGUUUUUUUUUAGUCUCGUUUUGGUCCAUUCUGUUAGAUUUCCGUUAGAAUUUUAAAAAAAAAUUAACUCCUGGACACAUGUCACCUUGUCAUUGGCUCUAAGUUUUUUUUUUUUUUUUUAUAAAAAAAAAAUCUCAGAGCCAAUAACAAGGUGACACGUGUCCACACUUAACGUUUUUUAUUAAAACUAACAGAAACCUAACAGAAGGGACCAAAACGAGACUAAAAAAAAACUUAAAAUCCUCAAACAAUCUUUUUUUUAGUUAAGGGACCAAAGCGAUACCAAUUAAAUAGUUAAAGGACCAAAAGAGCAUUUAAGCCUUUUUAAAAACUAUUUUCUAAAUCAAUUUUAUGAAACUGUUUUUCAAAUGAAAAAAAAAAAAAAAAACAGUUUGAUAAUUCUAUUUUUAAAAUUGUUUUGGGAAUGAAAAAAAUUGUUUGAUAAUUUGUUUUUAAAAUAUGUUUUGAUUAUUUAUUUCAUAAAAAGUAUAUUAAAUUUCUGGUUACACCCAGUUUUUUUAAAAAGUUUUUUAUAAUACCAAAAUUAUCCUUUUAUAUAAAUUUUCUUAAAAUCUUGAUUUCAUUCAUUGUCACUCUAAAAUUCCACUCUCUUUCACUCACCAACGAUUAAACAAUCCUGAUGUUCAAUUAAUCUCUAUGGAAGAUUAAAGAGUGAAUCCAAACAUCUUUCAUUCAUACUCGAUUGCAUAUAAAUAAGUGAAUUUUUUUUUCUUUUUCAAUAACGUUGGUUUCAAUUUUCUUCUUCUUGUUUAACUGCACUAUACGACAGUUUCAGUUUUACAUUGUUGACGUUAACUUAAAUUCAGUUUAAGUAGGUUCAUGUAAACUUAGUUUACAUAACCUAUUUAAACCGAGUUUAAGUAUGUACACUUAAACUCAGUUUACAUGACCUACUUAAACUAAGUUUACAUGUAUAUACUUAAAUUGAUAUUACGUAUAAUCAUUGAAGAAUGUUGAACUUUUAGAUGUACACUUAAACUUAGUUUACAUGACCUACUUAAACUGAGUUUACAUGACCUACUUAAACUGAGUUUAAGUAUGUAUACUUAAACUCCGUUUACAUGAGCGACUUAAACUAAGUUUACAUGAUCUACUUAAACUGAGUUUAAGUAUGUACACUUAAACUUAGUUUACAUGACCUACUUAAAAUAAGUUUACAUGUACAUACUUAAACUGAGAUUACGUAGAAUCAUUGAACAAGGUUGAACUUUUAAAUGUACACUUAAACUCUCCCUACUAAAACUGAGUUUAAGUAUGUACACGUAAACUCAGUUUACAUGACCUACUGAAACUAAGUUUACAUGACCUACUUAAACUGAAGAGGGAUUUUAGGGUGUAACCAAGAAAAAAGGAAAAUGCUUUUUGAAAAUUAAAUUUUAUGAAAGGGUAAUUUUGUCAUUUUAAGGUGCAAUCAGGAUUAAACAUGGUGUAAUUAGAAAAACUCUUAAAUUUAUACUUUAGUUUUUUAUAAGUAUAAUACAGUAUCAAAAGAGAUUAAUAAUUAUAAACCUUAAAAUUCCUCUAGAAAAAAGUAGGAAACUUAAAUGUGUCAUUUUUUACACAAACAUCCCGUUAGAGUUGUUCGCAAGUAUGCGUCGGAUAGAAAGGUCAUGACUCAGACAAAUCAACGAGGUCAAUUUAGAUUUCCUCAUAGUUUACACUAAAUCCGACCAAACCCGAAUUGAUUUGGUUCAAUAAUAGACUUAUGAUUUUAAACUGAUAAAUCUAUAAGUUGAUGGUAAAUAAUAAUUUUUCAAAAUUUACAUUGACUUAGUUUAGGAGUUUUGAGUGGUGUAUCUUGAGGUAAUUCAAUUUAGUUUAAAUGUUAAAGUUUUAAAUAAUGGACUUCAAUCAAAAUAUUAUGGGAGGGGUUUGUGUGAAUUUGACAAAAACGUUAAGGCAUCUAGUGAGGCGACGCUAAGAUGAAAUGUCAUCAUAGGGGAAACUCUUGUCAUGGUAGAGUUUAACAUAAAGAUUCAUGGGAGUAGUGAGUGGUUUGGAACCAAGUAAGCUCGUAUAUAUUACUAAGUUAAAGCAAUACUUGUGCAGGAAGAUGUAGAGUUACCAAGAUGUGAAUAUGCAACUUCUAAACCUAGGAAACAAUUAGUUAUUUAAUGAGCAAAUCUUGUCUUGGAAGUACCAACAAUGAUUACAUCAUCAUCAACAUAGAUCAAUAGGUCUUUAAUGGCUUUAUUUGGAUGCAUCUAAGAAAGUUAAAGGAAAGAGUAAGAAGGGAAAGAUUGUCUAAGGAAAGAAAAAGAGUAGAAAGUGAGAGGAUUGUUUUGGUUGUUUGGUACAAGGGAAAGUGGAAUAGAAAGUUGGAGGAAAGAAAGAUCUAUAUUUUCUAAUUGACAUAAUUGCCCUUAAACAAAAAUAAUAUGUUAGUAUAUAUAAACAUUGUAUGUACUUUAGUAGAAGAAUAAAAUAUGUCAUACAACAAUCGAAUCAUGUAUGCCUAGAGACUAACAAAAAGUUAAAUGGUGAAUUACUUAAAAAAAGCUAGGUGUGAAUUGAAAAAAUAAUAAAGAGACACCAGCACGACGACUUGCAAAAACGCAAAACCCACCAGAGCCACGACGACUUGCAACAAAGUGAACGCACGACUAACCGAAUGGAUUCCAAACCCAUCAACCACCUUGGAUUUGCAUCGCGUCCAGCAGUAAGAUAAACUCCGGUGAAGAUAAACGAGUCGCGGUGGUGCCGCCGACUGAAACCCCAUUUGGGGGUUGGUGAUGGAAGCCAUCCAAGACAAGCAACCACCACCACUUUUAGAUCUACAUCUUGAUGACGAAAUUUUGGAUUUGGGAGAAGAAGAGAUUGGUGUUUUUGACUUUAGAACUGAUUACAUAAUUUGAAACUUUUAACUUUAAAAGUGAUUUUUACAUUCAAAUUUAUUGUUCAACCCAUUUAUGUAAAUGUAUUUAUAUAAAUCACAUCACAUUCAACUCAUUUUGAAUUAAAAUUAUUUUUACAAAAUCAAUUUAUUCAAAAUCAAAUUUUGUUACCGUAAAUCAAAUAUACACAUGUUUCGAUAAGCUUCUGGUAUUAGAAAAUUUCGGUGUUCGAAUUGCAGUGACUCAUUGUGAUUUUGACAUCUAUGUUGUUUCUAACUAAAUAAAUAGUUAGUAUUUGGUUCAACAUUUUUUUCUUCUUCUUCUCUUUCUUCUUUCUAGAAUGGCGUCUUAAGACUGCAAUAUUUAUAGAUAUUUAUUGAGAGAGACUGCAAUAUUUCCUCUUUUUUGGAUAAUAUGAAGCAGAAAGAGUACACAUUUGUUGAAUAUAAUGCCGUAUAAUACGUGGUUCUUUGAAUGCUUCCAACUCAAGUUUUGACCUGUUCACAAAAUUCUUCAGACUCACCUUAAACUAAACCAGCUUGACAGUUUGAUAUUAUUUUUUUAAAGAGCAAAAAACGUCAUCGAAUUAAAGAAUAUUAAUCAAUUAAUUAAUUAAUUUUUUUGGUCUUGAUCAAUUAAUUAAUUAUACCAGUGGUAAACAUAAAAAACAGAUCUACAGUCACGCGGCAACAAAUCCAAAAAAGUAUGUCAAUGUCAUUAUUUGGUAAAUAUUUUAUUUAUCAACUUCAACUUUCAAGUUGCCCUUAAGAAACUUUCAAGUUUAAACUAAGACCUCAAAAAAAAAAAGUUAAUAAACUAAGACCUCUAAAAACAAAGGUAAUAAACUAAUAAGAAUAUUCUCUCAACAAAAAAUGAAACUAAGAAGAAUAUAUUUUGCUUAUUUACCAGAAAAAAAUAUUUUGAUUAGUCAAAAGAAGAAGAAUAUUGUGAAUUAAUUUGACACUGACGAUUUUUAGAGCUGUAGAUAUUUACGUAUUUAAUUGUUGAUGUCCAUUCAAGUGAUUUAACUUAAGUUGAGGUUUAUUCUUUUGUUACUAAGUUGGAGGUGGAGAAGGAGACUAUUUGCAUAGGAGGAGAAACGACCAGUAAAGUAGAGUGUGUUAUGUUGCUUGAUAAUAUUUUUUUUUUUGUAGGAUAAUGUAUUAGAUAAAUGGAUUUAGAAACAUUACCCUAUCAAAGGGUACACGGUAAAGGAGGUCAUCAUAACCCUAUGCCUAAUGAUCCACUUACUAUAGAUUUGCAUUCAAGCUUAAUUAGGAACAAAGCAGAACCUCUCAAGGUGUAAUUUUUCACAUGACGAACAAAGCAAUUCCUUUAUGAUAUAAAAUGUCAAUAUUGUUAUUUCUUUUUAAUCAAAGCAUAAUAAUAAAAAAAAAAACUUAUAAAAAAACUCAUCAAAUUCAUAAACAAACCUAAAUCUUCAUCAUAUAAAGAUAAAAACCCAAAGUUUAUUAAAAUUUUGCUAUAAAAAGGAUAACAAUUUUGACAUUUUAUAACGUAAAUGAUUAAAUCAGAAAAAGAAAAAGAUAACGAAGGAAAGUGUUACCUGAUUAUAAAAUAAAUUAUUAAAUUGAAAAAAAAAGUUAAAUAACUAAAAUGUUAUCUAUAAUUAAGUUAAUAGACGAAAUAUGUAAUUUUGCUAAUUAAUAUUGCGUAAGUUUUUAUUUAUUUUAUAUACGUUGUUUUGGAUUGAAAUUUGAGUGGUCUUAAAGGAGAGAAAAACAAAAGAGAAAAGAAAAAUUAAUAGUAGAUACAAUAAUUUUGUUAGUCCAAAUAAUAUAGUUUUCUUUAAAAAUAAUAUCAUUCAAAUUUAUGUCACGUCACAAUGAGAAAAAAAAUGGCCUAACGACCUUGUAUUACACAUCAUCAUCAUCAUCCAAAGUCUAAACAAUACAUCUUCAGUUCCUAUAAAUACAAGAGUGAACUCCACUAAUAAAUCACACAGGCAAACAAUUAACUUAUUAAUAGUUUGUUAUUUCAUACAUUAAUUAGAAAUUUAUAAUUCAUUAUCAUCAUGGGUGUCUUCAACUUUGAGGAUGAAACCACAUCUAUUGUAGCUCCUGCUAGACUUUACAAAGCUCUAGUUACAGAUUCUGAUAACCUUAUCCCAAAGGUUAUUGAUGCCAUCCAAAGUAUUGAAAUUGUUGAAGGAAACGGUGGCGCCGGAACCAUCAAAAAACUUACUUUCGUUGAAGGUUAGUAUAUAUGUGUGAAAAAUUGUAGUGGCAAGAAACUUUUUUUAACCCUAUGUAAAGAAAAUGUUUAAAAACUAAAUUGGUUUGAGAACAUGUUUUCUAUUUUUAAUUACAAAAUUAAGUGUUAGAAGAAGAACAGCUACGCCGACAUGGUCGACAAUUUAACAAAAGUUCCAUAUCACAAUAAAUAUCUACUUAGCAUAUGUUUGAAACUACGAUGAGAUUACUCUCAACACACGACCACCAAAAACUUAUAUCCUUAGCUUCAGGUUUUUUACGGUAAAACAAAAUGGGAAACAAGUAUUAAGAAUUAACCCUUCAAAGAAAGUAUUAAGAAUUAUGAUACAUAACAUAAAUAGUGGAAGUCAACAAAGCAUUUUUGAUGACAUUAUUACUAGUAUUAAUUUUAUUUUUUUUUGAGGGGAAAGUAUUAUUAUAUUAUAUUAUUAUAUGCGUUUAAUGGAGAUCUAAUGUCGGUGUAAAAUUAUUUUACCGUCGGUAAGACCAAAAAUAAAUAAAUUAUUUUACCAUGACAACUAUGACAAUUCACCAUACUACCAAAUAAGCCCAUUUAAAAACAGUUUUUCAAUACUUGACCAGAAAAACUAGUAUUUUUUAAAAGUAACAUCAAAUAUUUGACUUGUUGAUUGUCAAGUGUAUAUCCUCUUUUCUUUUAGUGUUAUGUUAACUUGUAUCCUAAGAGUAUAAGAUAAGAAACUAAAUGUAGAGAUUUAACUUUGAAAUUUGUACAUCAUAAUUUUUUUUAAUGACACAUUGUGCAACAUAAUCUUAAAAUCUUUUUUUUUCUAAAGGAUAAUCUUAAAAUCUUAAAAACUUAUAUUUUCUUUUAUUAUAUAUAUAUUGGAUUAUUUGUUACUGUGUUUUUUAUAUAAUUUUUUUUUUAUGAGAAACAGUAAUUUUUUAAAAUUAUUUUUAAUAGCUUCUUAUACUAAUUUUUAAUAGGCUUAAUUGCACUUUUGGACCGCUAUCUUUNNNNNNNNNNNNNNNNNNNNNNNNNNNNNNNNNNNNNNNNNNNNNNNNNNNNNNNNNNNNNNNNNNNNNNNNNNNNNNNNNNNNNNNNNNNNNNNNNNNNGAUGCCACGUCAGCGUUGACCGAGUCAACAAUGAAUUUGGGGUCCAAAACUGCCAAAGAAUCAAAACAUAAGGGGCUGUUUUGUAUUUAAAUUAGUUAGGGGUCCAUAACCGCAACUUUUGAAAAGAUAGGGGUAUAAAAGUGCAAUUAAGCCUUUUUAAUAACCUAAUUGAACUAAGUGAAUGUCCAUCAUGUUAGUAAUUUGUGAAACGAAUCAAUUAUUAUGAGCAGGUGGUGAAACAAAGUAUGAUUUGCACAAAGUGGACUUAGUAGAUGAUGUUAACUUUGCUUACAACUACAGCAUAGUUGGUGGUGGUGGACUUCCAGACACAGUGGAGAAGAUCUCCUUUGAGUCUAAAUUGUCUGCAGGGCCAGAUGGAGGAUCCAUUGCAAAGCUUACUGUGAAAUACUUCACCAAAGGUGAUGCUGCACCUAGUGAAGAGGAAAUCAAGGGUGGCAAAGCUAGGGGUGAUGGUCUUUUCAAGGCUCUUGAAGGUUACGUUUUGGCAAAUCCUGAUUACUAAAGCAUAUAGCUAAUUGCUUGCUUGCUUUAUACAUGGUGUGUUGUGAUGCAUUUUAUUAUAUCAUGUGGGCUUGAUUUGGUUGCCAAAUGUAAUUUUCUAUUUUCCGUUUGCUGAAGUUUGAGAUUGUAAGUCAUAUGUGUACCUCCCUUCAAGAAAUUAUAAUAAUACUUCAUCUAUUCAUUUUUACUUUUUUUUUAAAAAAAUAAAAAUUGUAUGCAACUAUUUAUAUGUGGCUUUCGAAUUUUAAGGUUAUUGUUAGAACGAAAACUAAUAACUGAAGAUUAAAUAAGAGAACGAAAGAAAAAACAAUGAACAUACAAUAUUUUUUAACACAGUUCAAUCAAUUGUACCUACCUAUGUGACUAUAGAUCAACUAUUGUUCUAUUUCUAUUACUGUGACAAGAAUUAGGGUUUCAUAUUACAAGCUGUAUAUAUGAAUUAUAUGUUAAGAGUCCCACAUCGGUUAGGAGUUGGCCUGACAAUUUAUUUAUAAGUGGGGGGCAAUCCUCACCUCACAAACUGAUUUUGUGGGGUUGUGUUAGGCCUAACCACGAUUUCUAAUUCUAUACUUCAUCAGUUAUACUCAUCAAUCUUUUAGACUCUAAGAUAUCUUGGUUAACCAAAAAAUAAUUGAACAUAAGACAACCCAUUCUCCAUAAAACAAUUCUCACACAAUCUUUCCAUAUCAACAUACACCGUGGCUUCUUAAAAAUAAUAAACCCUAUGAGAAAAGUAAAAAAACGAGGCAAUCUUGAGAACAUAGUGGCCAAAUAUUAGAGGACAAUUGGUAUGAAAUGAAUAAAAAAGGGAAAAAUCUUACAAAUGAAUGAAGGAGUACAAGAGUGUUUAUAUAAUGGAAGCAUGAAAAUAACUAUAACUAGAUCAAAAGAGAAAAGAGUAAAUGUCCUAAAAUGUCCUCUAUCUCUCUUGGUAUGAUUCUUUCUCUUAUCUUCUUCAUUGUGCAAUAUCCUCCCACAAGUUGGAGGUUGGUAGAUAUCCAACAUCCCCAACUUGGAUAGAAGAAGAUUGAAAGGCUGCAGAAGUAGUGACUUGGUGAAGAAGUCUGCAACUUGAUCUUUAGAGGAAAUAGGUAGUAGCUUGAAUAAUCCAGCUUACAUUUUUUCUCUAAUAAUAUGGCAGUCAAUCUCAAGGUGUUUGGUAAUUUGUUCAUGAAAGACUAGAUUAACAGCGAUGUAGAUAGCACUUUGAUUGUCACAGUAAUGAACAUGUGCUUUGGUACAUUGAAUCUCUGAUAAGGUAAAGCAACCAUUGCAAUUAACAACUAGUAGAUGCAAGUGCUCGUUAUUCAGCUUCUAAUGUGAUCUAGAGACUGUAAGUUGUUUCUUUGUUCUCCAAGAAACAAGAGAUUUGCCAAGAAAGAAUCAUUGACCAUAGAUUUACCACUUUCUUACAUGGAAUAAUUUGGUGAAUUUGCCAAAUUUGACAUCACAUCAUCGCGAUAUCUAAAAUUGUAUCGUGCAAUGAAGCGUGUCUUUGGUUUCAUGGUACAUAAAUACAAAAGUGAUUUUAUACACAUAAAAUUAAUUCUAAUAUGUGAUGUCUACCGAAUAUGUUUCUUUAGAAUUGAUUGUAUAAUUUGAAACUUUUAACUCUAAACUACAUUAAAGUUUACUGUUCAACCCAUCUACUAUUAAUUUAAACAUAAAUCAUAUCACAAUCAUCUCAUUUUUAACUAAAAUUAUUUUAACAAAAUCCGGUUGACAAAAUUCUAAUGAUAUCAUGAUCUUACUGAAGAGUCAAAAUUAAGCUUUUGAUCAAUUGCAGUAAUUCAUCGUAAUUUUGACAUAUAUGCUGUUUAUAACUAAAAAAAAAUUAUUGGUAAUGUUAACUUGUGUUCUAAGGGCACAUGUUAAGGAACUCAAAAAUAACAAUUUUACAUUGAAAAACAUAAUAUUUUAACUUUUAAGAAGUUAAAUGCACAACUUUUUGAUACGUACUUCUAUAAUUAGUUCUUUAACAUGUGCCCUUAAGGACAAAAAUUAGCAUUUGUCAUAAAUUAUUUGUAUUAAAUUCAACGUUUUUUCUUCUUCUUCUCUUUCUUCUUUCUAGAAUGGCGCCUUGAAUUGUUCAAAAAAAAAAGAAUGGCGCCUUGAGACUGCAAUAUUUAUAUAGACCGCAAUAUUUUCUCCAAGUUGAAUACUAUGCAAUACUAUAAGACUAGGACUCCCGAAUUUCCUCUUCUUUUUUGGAUAAUAUGAAGCAGAAAGAGUACACAUUUGUUGAAUAUAAUGCCGUAUAAUACGUGGUUCUUUGAAUGCUUCCAACUCAAUUUUUGACCUGUACACAAAAUUCUUCAGACUCACCUUAAAAUAAACCAUCUUGACAGUUUGUUAUUAUUUUUUUAAAGAGCAAAAUACGUCAUCGAAUUAAAGAAUAUUAAUCAAUUAAGUAAUUAAUUUUUUUGGUCUUGAUCAAUUAAUUAAUUAUACCAGCGGUAAACAUAAAAAGACGGAUCUACAGUCACGCGGCAACAAAUCCAAAAAAGUAUGUCAAUGUCAUAUUAUUUGGUAAAUAUUUUAUUUAUCAAUUUCAACUUUCAAGUUAAUAAACUAAGACCUCUCAAAAAAGGUAAUAAACUAAUAAGAAUAUUCUCUCAACAAAAAAUAAAACUAAGAAGAAUAUAUUUUGCUUAUUUACCGAAAAAAUAUUUUGCUUAGUCUAAAGAAGAAGAAUAUACUUUGCUUCAGCAAAAAAUGUAUUUUGUAUGUAUUGUAGUUGAGGUUUAUCAUAAAUUCAUAAUGCUAUUGUAGUUGAUAUGAGACGAAUAGUCCUUUAUCUUUUUUGUCCUUUAUACCAUAAAAGAUUAAAUCGAAAAAAGAAAAAGAUAAAAGACGAAAAUGUUACUUAAUUAUAACAUAAAUUAUUAAAUCAAGAAGAAAUGAUAAAUGACGAAAAUGUUAUCUCAAAUUAAGUCAAGGCACGAAAAAUGUAAUUUUGUCAAUUAUAUAUAUUGCUUAAGUUUUUAUUUAUUUUAGGUCAAAUACCUCUCGGAGUCCUUUAAGUUUCACGUUUGUAACGGAUAAGUUUUUUAAUUUUUUAAAGUUUCAUAUUGGUCCUUUAAGUUAUUGAAAAAUUAUGUCGUUAACCUUUCAGUCAACCUCCGUUACAAAAACGUUGAGAUGUCCAUUAUGAUUGACAUGAUAUAAGGCGCCGCGUUUUUUCCAUUCCAUCGUGUUCCAAUUUGAAGAAUCUAGGCAAUUUGAAGCCAUGCUUUUCUUAAAAAAGCUUCAAAUUGGUUGUUAAUGAGGUUAGGGUUUUCAAUUUGGGGAAGAAUGGGUGAAGAUUGAAGAAGAGUGAUGAGGAAUGUGAUGGGGUAGUAUUGGAACACAUUGGAUAGGCCAGAACAUGGCGUUUUAUGCCACAUCACAUAUUUAACGGACAAUUAAACUUUAUUGUAACGGAGGUUGACUGAAAGGGUAACGACGUAAGCUUUUAAUAAUUUAAAGAACCAAUCUAAAACUUUAAAAAUUUAAAGGACUGAUCCGGUACAAACGUAAAACUUAUCUCAGGAGAUAUUUGACCUUUAUUUUAUAUAUGUUGUUUUGCAUUGAAAUUUGAGUGGUCUUGGAGGAGAGAAAAACAAAAAAGAAAAAUAAAUAGUAGAUGCAAUCAAUAAUUUUGUUAGUCCAAAUAAUAGUUUUCUUUAAAAAUAAUAUCGUCCAAACUCAUACAAUUAAAAAUAGUAUUCAAAUUUUAUGUCACGUCACAAUGAGAAAAAAUAGCCCAACGACCUUGUUUUACACAUCAUCAUCAUCAUCUAAUGGCCUAUCUAAAGUCUAAACUAUACAUCUUCUUUUCCUAUAAAUACAAGAGUGAACUCCACUAAUAAAUCACACAGGCAAACAAUUAACUUCUUAAUAGUUUGUUAUUUCAUACAUUAAUUAGAAAUUUAUAAUUCAUUAUCAUCAUGGGUGUCUUCAACUUUGAGGAUGAAACCACAUCUAUUGUAGCUCCUGCUAGACUUUACAAAGCUUUAGUUACAGAUUCUGAUAACUUUAUCCCGAAUGUUAUUGAUGCCAUCCAAAGUAUUGAAAUUGUUGAAGGAAACGGUGGCGCCGGAACCAUCAAGAAACUUACUUUCGUUGAAGGUUUUUAUUUUUAUUUUUUUAUUAUAAGUAAUCUAAUGGUUAGAAAUCUUAAUUCUUAAUACUUGUUUUUCAUAUUGUUUUACGAUAAAAAACCUGAAAAUACACAUAUAUGUUUUUGGUAGAUUACUCUCAACACACACGUAUAUCAAAACUUAUAUUUGCAGUUUCAACAGUAAAACAAUAUCGGAAACAAGUAUUAAGAAUAAGGCUUAAUUGCAGGUCUGAUCUCUUAUGUUUACUUUAGUUUUUAAGUUGAUCCUUUAUGUUUUAAAAGUUUUAAGUUGGUCUCUUACGUUUUAAAAGUUUUAAGUUGGUCCAAAACGUUACUCACGUUGGAAUAAGUUAGUCCCUCCAGUCACUUAACGUUUAAAGAUCCAUGUUGACAAUAUGGGUGAUGAAACUUAACUUAUUUAGAAAAUCAAUUUUAAAACAUUUUUUAUUUUUUUUUGUUUUAUUAAACUCAAUAUCAUGUCGCGGAAGGACUAACUUUAUUCCAAUGUGAGUAACAUUUGGACCAACUUGAAACUUUUAAAGCGUAAGGGACCAACUUAAAUCUUUUAAAACAUAAGAGAGUAACUUGAAAACUAAAAUAAAUAUAAGUGAUCAAACAUGCAAUUAUAAGCCUAAAAAUUAAGAUAUAUAACAUAAAUAGCGGAAGUCAACAAAACACAUGAGAAUAUUCUUUUGAUGACAUCAUUACUAGUAUUUUUUUUAAAGAAAUCAUUACCGGUAUAUUAUUACAUCAUAGAUCUUAUCUUCGUGAGUUUAGCUCAGUUGAUAGAGACAAUGUAUAAUAUAUGCAAAGACCGAAGUUCAAACAUCAGUCACCAUAAAAAAAAAAUUAUGGAUCUUGCUAACAAGUGCCCUAAAAGCAUUGUUUAAAGAACCCACAAAAAUAAAUUUUGUCUUGAAAAUAUAAGGCAAACACAUGUAAAAAUCAUAACUAUACAAUUUUCAAUAUAAAAAUUACUAUUUUUGAAUGCUUAAAUAGUGCCCUAAGAACACUUAUUAACAUUUUUCUGAUAUUAUAUGUGCUUAAUAGAGAUCUAAUGUCGGUGUCUCAUAAGUCAUAGCUCAACUGGCAAAAAUACCGAAAUUGUUAUGCCGGACGUCAUGACCGGGGUUCGAACCUCAAUACCUCCACUUUGUGUGUGUGAGUUUAUGGUGGCUUUGCCAUCUCUUCUAUAUACCAAAAAAAAGAGAUCUAAUGUCAGUGUAAAAUUAUUUUACCGUGACAAUUAUGACAAUUCACCAUACUACCAAAUUAGCCUAUUUAGUAACCCUUUUUCAAUACUUGAUAGAAAAACUCUUUUUUGAAAGUAACCACCAUAUGUUACUCUUGUGGAUUGGAUUAUUUGUUACUAUGUUUUUUAUAUAAUUAUUUUUUUGUGAGAAACAUAAUUUUUUUUUAAAUUAUUUCGGCUUAAAUACAAUUUUGAUGCCCCUAUUUUUAAAAUUGUUAAUUUUUGAUACCUUUAUUUUUAAAAUCUGUUUUUUAUUCAAUUAUUUAAAAGGCUUAAUAGCAGUUUUAGCCCUUAAAUAUUACGAAGUUAAGAUUUUGUCCCCUAACAAAAUAAAAUACAAUACAUCCCCGUAAGUACUGCCCUUUUUGUAGUUUUGGCCGCUCAGACCAAUUUUGACCAAGUCAUUACUUAUGUAGACGCAACGUGUGUAUUUUUUUUAAUUAUUAAAAAAUAAUUAAAAUAAUAAUUUUUUUAUAAAAAAAAUUAAAAAAUUGAAAAUUAUACACGUGACGUCCACACAGCAUUUACUUGGUCAAAAUUGGCCUGAGGGGCCAAAACUGCAAAAUGGCAAUACUUAGGGGGAUGGAUUGUAUUUUAUUUUGUUAAGGGGCCAAAAUCGCCUAAUACUUACGGGGCCAAAACUGGUAUUAAGCCUAUUUAAAAAGUCAACAAAAUAUUUUGGUUUCAUUCCUCUCUGAAUGAUGUGGCAUGUCCAUUAAUGACAUGAUGUUUGUGAUUGAACUAAGUGAUUUCCAUGAUGUUUAUGAUUGUGAAACGAAUCAAUUAUGCGCAGGUGGUGAAACAAAGUAUGAUUUGCACAAAGUGGACUUAGUAGAUGAUGUUAACUUUGCUUACAACUACAGCAUAGUUGGUGGUGGUGGACUUCCAGACACAGUGGAGAAGAUCUCCUUUGAGUCUAAAUUGUCUGCAGGGCCAGAUGGAGGAUCCAUUGCAAAGCUUACUGUGAAAUACUUCACCAAAGGUGAUGCUGCACCUAGUGAAGAGGAAAUCAAGGGUGGAAAAGCUAGGGGUGAUGGUCUUUUCAAGGCUCUUGAAGGUUACGUUUUGGCAAAUCCUGAUUACUAAAGCAUAUAGCUAAUUGCUUGCUUGCUUUAUACACGGUGUGUUGUGAUGCAUUUUAUUAUAUCAUGUGGGCUUGAUUUGGUUGACAAAUGUAAUUUUCUAUUUUCUUUUGCUGAAGUUUGAGAUUGUAAGUCAUAUAUGUGUACCUCCUUUCAAUAAAUUAUAAUAAUACUUCAUCUAUUCAUUUUUACUUUUUUUUAAAAAAAUGUAUGUAACUAUUUAUUUGUUGUUUUUGUUAUGAAUAAUAUUAAUAAUAUAACGUGGAUUUCCAUUGUCCAUAAGCUUUCUAUAACUCCUAUGUUU